rnacentral:lncRNA from 1 species
UUUUUUCUUCUAAAAUGUAUUUUGAUCUAUUAAAUGAUCUCAAAUGUAAAAGUUGUCAAUUACAAAGGUUAAUGUCUCGUUGAGCUCUACAAUUCUGAUAUAAAGUUUAUAUUUAUCUGAGAUAAAUUAUAAAAGUUUGUAUUAAAAAAAUACAUUCCCUAAACACAUUCACAUAUACUCAUGCAUUCAACUACUUCAAAAGUGUUAGGUACUACAUGACAUAAUUGAUUCAAACUACAUAUUACAUAAGUUAGAUACACUCAAACUAGCUAUAUAUUAUGAGGUAACAAUUCUUGAUUCUCCGUCCUUGCGUGCCCAGGGCAUUUCAUCUUUCUUUAUACUUUCUUCUAAAAUCAUUAUCUUCUGUGGUAGGUUUGUGAAGAGGUUCGUUCCAUUGUACUGAUUAUAUUCUUCAACAUCUUCAACACCAUCAACUCCUCAUUGUACUGAUUAUAUUCUUCAACAUCUUCAACAUCAUCAACUCCUAAUAUUUCUUGUUUUCCAGGGACUACAACGUGCUUUGUCUUUUUUGCAGGAUCAACAACAUACAUAACCUGUGUGACCUGUGAAGCAAGUACCCAAGGGUCAUCUUUGUAACCAACAUUGUUGAGAUCAACAAUUGUGAUCCCAUAGUCGUCCACUUCAACACCUUUUGGGUGUUUGAUCCAAUGGCACCGAAAGACCCGGAUCUGUAUAUUGGAACCAUAGUGGACUUCCCAUAUAGCAUCUAUGAUGCCAUAAUAUGUGGUACUUUGGCUGGUUCUCUCGUCUAAGGCCUCAAGAUGAACACCAUUGUUCUGAGACAAAGUCUUCUUGUCUUUCAUGGUAGUAUAAAAUAGAUAUCCAUUAAUAUCAUAACCUUUCCAUGAUGUGACCUGGCUAGACCAGACAGUUGUCAAUCUUUUGAUCUUUUGAUCUUUCAUGGUUUCCCCAUCUAGUAGAUUUAGGUCCUUCAACCAUGUGGUCAAACAACUGGCACACAUGCCUUACUCUCAUCUAGUGUCAAGUUGUAGCUAGCCGGGGGUAGUUCAUAUCUUCUAUUCCCCUUACCGAAUAGGUGAAGGUCUUAUCUUAUGUUCAUGGCUACCAAGUGUUGUCAUGACUUCAGGAUAUCAUUUGUCUUGGCUGAUGUCUCCAGGAAGAGAUCAAUUGUGUUACUAAACAUAUCUUUUUCAAGUGCAUACCAUCGAUGGCAUGACGGACCUCAAGGUCCGACCAAUAUGGCAAGUACUUGUAGAAGAUCGACAGCUUCUUUGAUGGCACACCAUCGAUAGGUGGCUUAUCUCUAUUUCUCUUCUUCUUAUCUUUUGUCAUCUUCCCAUAAGGAACCUGGAUGGUCCUGACCAUGUUAAAAACAUAGUGCCCAUCUCAUUUUUCUAGAGCAGAUUCUAGGUCGGGCUUGGCGCUAAAAAAAUUAUAGAACUUCUUACUUCGGUACAUGUGUCCUUCCACCAAGAAGCGUUUGUACCCAAGGUAAACUACCUUUCUAGAACCUUCUAGGAAAGACCAUAUGGUGUCAUCGAUGCACACCGUGCAUCCUGUCUUACCUUUCACUUGUCCUGACAAGACAAACAAUGCUUGGUAAUGAUUGAUGGUGAUGAAGAUCAUGGCUCUUAGAUUAAAUUCCUGCCGUGUAAAACCUUCAAUAAUGUUGAUACCAUUCUUCCAUAAAGUUUCCAUCUCUUGCAUCAAAGGCUCAAGAAAAAUAUCUAUAUCAAUCCCAGGAUGCUUUGGUCCCUGUAUAAGGAUGGAUAGCAAAAGAUACUUUCUCUUUUAGCACAACCAUGUUGGCAGGUUGUACAUCAUAAAGAUCACUAGCCAUGUGCUGUGAGUGCUGGUCCUUUCACCAAAUGGAUUCAUUCCAUCUAUACUUAGUGCAAAUCUAACAUUUCUUAUAUCAUUUCCAUAUUCUGGAUACCGCUCAUCGAACUUCUUCCACUGGUAGGCAUCAGAUGGAUGUCGAAGCUUUUCAUCACCCUUCCUACGCUUAUCUGAAUCCCACCAUUGCAUUAGUUCAGCAUCCUUUGGGUUUGAGAAGAAAUGCCAAAGGCGAUCGGCAACAGGGAGGUACCACAUGACCAAGGGGCGGGUGACAGCACCAACCGCCCUUGGAAAUAGCCCCCAUUUUCCAUCACCCGCCCGUACAAAUGGUUCUCCAAGGGCGGGCCACAUCGCCCCCUCCCCCCCUCCCCCCCCCCCCCCCCCCCCGUUUUGUAGGUGUGCGUGGCAAUUUUGCCCGCCGUUAGAAAAAAAACGGGGCACCCUACAAAUCGUUUUUUAAGUAGUGACAUGCUCUAAGAAGAUGUGGGCUGACCAACACGGUGGACUCUGAAGGAAGACAUACCCCCGGUCCAAUACGUGAAGCAAAACAAGCCCAAAAGACCCAAUCAUUUUGGUUACUCUUACUCAUCUAUGUUCUUAACAAUGCAAAACAUUAAGGAAGUAGACCAGCAGAGGCCUGCCCAAUACAUCCUUAAUUGACACGUGGCUAGAAGCAUGAGGUUCCAGUUCAGAUGAAAUAAUAUAUUGGUGAUUUUGUUGUGUGAUUCUCCAUGGUUUAAUAGUACGUGUUUCUCGUCUGUUGUUUGAGCCUUUAUGAUGUUUAUGACAACCAAUAGUUCUGUAGCAAAAGAAAGCAUCCAGGGAUUGUGCUCAGUCACGUUUUUUUCCCUCCAGUUAGCACCGCUAGGGAACUUGGUAUUAGUCCCGGUUGGAAGGUGCAUAUGUCCCGAAAAACGAUCCGCGAUUAAUCAGUCGAGAUAAAAGGGGAGGUCUUUGUCCUAGGUCCCUCAACCGGGAUAUAAGACCUCCAUUUAGUCCCGGUUGGUAAUACCAAUCGGGAUAAAAUGAUCGCCACGCCAGGGGCUGCCUCCCGCCCCUUUUAUCCCGGUUGGUAAUACCAACUGGCACUAAAUAGUUUUGCAAAAAAAUUGCAAAAAUAAAAAAUAUCAGGGGAUCCCUGGACGCGCCCACACGUCACAAGUCACAUGAUUUUUCACGAAAAAUAUGCGCAUGCACGGUCCAUGGGAUUCGAACCCAUGACCUCAAGCCUCGCGCGUAGCUUCCUUGCCAUCCCACCUACACACCACAUCUAUCUAUAUAGGGGAUGCUAUCCUUUUGUAUUAACUCAUGGAGGGUCCAUUGCAAAUACCAACCGGGAGUAAAUUCUAGCCUACCAUGGCGCACCCCCUUUUCUCCCGAGCCUGAAUUAAACCGGGACUAAAGAGGAGGAUCGAAAGUCAGUUCUCUAGUAGUGCGGACAAAGACAUUAUUUCAAGGGAGGGGUCCUCGUAAGGUUGGUCGAUCAAUUUUGUCGUGAGCCAUAUACCUUUUAUAAACAUAUAGAGAUUACUACAGUUGCAUGCUAUAUAUUUGGAUAUCAACAAGGUCUCUGGCCAUAGUAUUCAGGAGCGCCCUGUGGCGUACCAAGAAAGCGAGCACGACGGGGGCUCAUUUAUAUUGGCAACGCUAGAAGGGUUUGGGGGAUUGUUACACAGCAGCAGACAGAACUCGACGCCUUUACUAAUUUAAAUGCUUUGGACCAAGGUUUAUAAAGGUUGUUGCUGGGACACGGGCUGCAGCCCCAGCGCCCCCCCCCCCCCCCCCCCCAACACACACACACACAAAAAAAAAACUGUGUUGCACCAACCACCAUGUUGAUAUGUUAGUGUUUCACACAGAGCUUGCUUCUAUUCGAACAUAGAGCAUGCAUGAUCCCCCUACCAGGUUUAUCUUGCUAGUAGGAAAAGGAGGCAUCUGGAGCUCAUGUCCAAGUUCCAACUGGUGAUAUAGCGUUCAAUGUUUUGGUUGAGCAGAAUCUACCUUGAUCUUUGCAGUGCCGGCGCCGGUGGCGGCUCCUGUGAGGUUGAGCGGCGCUUAGCCGCUACUGAGGCAGCUAUGAAACACCAAUUCACCAUGCUCUGACGUGGUCCGCCUCUAGAGCUACUGUCGAAGGUUUUGUUCCUUACACUGGAGUCUGGACAGUAGAGCUCCUUGUCUGGACACAUAUGCAGAGACUAGAGAGCAGGGGAUAUAGCGAGCACAAGACGCUAGCUAGCUUACUAUGAUGUCUCGUGGAUUCCACAUUGUUUCUCUGGUAUGCGGUAUUUUGCAGUUUCAGAAGGCAAAUAGACGUGCUUGCACAGGUGCCAUGAUACAUCUGUUUCCGUUCAACUAUUGUCCACAUUUCACAGAUGUAUUCUUCAUUUCCAUCUUCAGCCACAUAAGACAUAAAUACAACUAUUGCUUUCAUCUUUUCUGAACAAAAAAACAUUGAGGGUCGUUGGUCAGUGUAGUAAUUUCCAGAUGAAUAAAAGCAAAAAAAAAAACGUGGUAGGCGAGUAACAUGUCCUAUGGUAUAUCCAUAAAGAUAUACUAACCCGUGGCAAACAACAAGAAGGGUCCAUGUUUAUUGGAGUGGAUUUUCCAUAUAUUUUUGGUAGCACGUUUUUCCAAUUAUUGAACUUUGAGUGUAUGAACAAAAUAAAAACAACUAAUGGCGCCAUUGUAGCAAUGGAAACAUUGAAUCGCUUUCCUUUUUGCACGUGUUACCAGUUAGAUAUGAGUUAACAUGACUAUACUGCAAAGCAGUGACCUUGCAAGAAUACAUCAUGCUUCUACCAUUUAUAUAGACAUUAGACAGGGUCAAGUCCCAGGCCGUGGUUUUUCUGUUGCAUCCUGGUCUCAACCACGAAUGGAUUUGUUUGCCAGAGUGAUAGCGCCACAAAAAUAGAGGAGAAUAUGAGCAAGAAAUGCCACAGUCUAUUUGGGUUGUAGAAUCACAUAGGAAAAGGAGGCAUCGGAAACUUAUGUCCAAGUUCCAAAGGUAUUAGUUGAGCUUAAAAGAUGCAUGCUGCACAAAAAGAACAACAAGGACGGGUAGCAGAGUUCAAGUGAUCCUCCGUUGACCACGGUUUUAGAGGUAGGGAUGAAUCUGUUGGCAGGCAGCCUCCUCCAGCUUCCUCCUCUAACUCACCAUUGCUGGAGCAGGUGGCCAGAAGCCUGGCUACUCCAAGGUCAGCAGAGCUGGGGUGAGGACAGGCAUAGCUGGAUUGUAGAAUCAUAUUUUUUUAGAUAAUGGAAAAAAUUCCAGCUUCAAACCUCUCAAAAGAGAGGCAUGGACCGCUAAAAUUACAAGCACACUGUGUUUAGCAUCAUUGACCAAUUCGCAAAAAGAAAGGCCAUCCAUAGGACGCGAAGAAAUGCAUAGCUCUAGACUCCAGAAGUUGGCAUGUCUUGACAAAAUGUACCCUCCGGUCACCAAUGUGCUGCAACAGAGCCCGAAACCAUAGUAGUGUGUCCCCCUGAAUAGAACCUGCAAAAAAACUUUUAGUCUGCAACGAUUAAAUACAGUAUAAUUUCUUGUGAGCUAAAUUGUCCAACAAAUAGCUGCAGCUCCUAUAAAUAACAUUAAAUUGUGCUUGCGGCCCCCCUGCUUAGACCAGCUAUUAAAAAGAUGUUCUAUGCUUUUAGGUGGAGGUAUACCUAACACAAUGUGAAUUGCACGCUAUAAAAUUUUUGCAUAAUGAUACUCAAAAAAUAAGUGAUGGAUAGUUUCUAGCAUGCUAUAGAAGCAACAAGUUUUAUUACCAUUCCAAUUCCUCCUAGCUAAAUUAUCUUUUGUUAGGAUCACUCCUCUUUUAAGAUACCACAAAAAUAUUUUUAUUUUGAGAGGAAUCUUCAUAUGCCAAAUUUCUUGCGUAGCUUUAAUACCGUUGUAGGCUGGGUGCCUAUACAUUGAAUUAACUGUGAAAGCUCCGUUCUUCUGUAAGCUCCACACAAAAGAAUCCAAUCCCUCAAUUAGAUUAAUAUGUGCAAGUCUUGCAACAAGGCUAUACCACUCAAAUAACUUGUACCCAACUAUAGCUCUCCUAAAGGAGACAUUGAGUGGGCUCAAACUAAGUACCUCUGCCACAAUUGCAUUUUUUUCGUACUAUAUUAAACAAAUUAGGGUACUGUACUUUCAGCUUUUGGGUACCUAACCAUUUAUCUUCCAAAAAUCUAAUUUGGUUGCCGCUAACUAGCUUGAACCUUCCUAGAUUGAGGAAUUCAUCUUUUACCCCUAUUUAGCUUGACCAAAAAUGUGAAUCCCCUGCUCUUUUUACUUGUCUGGGAUAAGGUUUUAUUCCUCAUAUACUUAUUUCGAGGCAAAUCUUACCACAAACCUUCUUCAUUACAUAACUUAAACAAUCACUUGCUUAGCAAGCAUUUGUUUUGUACAUCUAGAUCUUGAACCCCUAUCCCCCCUGUUCUUUUGGUUGACAUAGUACGUUCCAUCUGACCAAUCUAUAUUUCUUUUUGUGUUGGUCAUUCUGCCAAAAGAAUCUCGACAUAUAAUAUUCAAUUUUUCUAAGGACUCCCCUUGGGACCUCAAAAAAAGAGAGCAUAAACAUAGGCAAACUAGAGAGAACUAAGUUUAUCAAGACUAAACGUCCUCCCACUGAUAGGAGUUUUCCUUUCCACCCACUUAGUUUUUUUUUUCUAUUCUAUCCUCUAUUGCCUUCCAAUCUUUGUUUGACAACUUUCUAUAAUGCAUUGGUAUCCCCAAAUAGUGAAAUGGGUAAGAACCUAAUUUUUAACCGAAAAGUUGUGAAUAUUGAGUUUCAUAGUUUCUUGCAUCCCCAAAGCCAAAAAUUUCACUUUUGUGCUGAUAGCUGUUCAAAGGCACAAAGGAGAAGCUUAAUUUUCUUUGCUUGUUUAAUAUCAUGGUCCAUAAAAAUAACUGUAUCAUCUGCAUAUUGGAGAAUCGACAAACCACCAUUGAUUAAAUGUGGUACUACCCCUUUCAACUGACCAUCCUCUUUGGCUCUAGCCACGAUGAUUGCCAAUAUAUCAACAAUGAUGUUGAAAAGUAUUGGAGAUAAAGGAUCACCUUGCCUAAGUCCCUUCUUUGUUUGGAAGUAUCUUCCCAGUCGUCACCUUUUUCCCCACAUUGCCCCCUUGUACAAAUGAUUUAACCCAUUCACUCCACUUUAGGUCAAAACCCUUUAUUCUAAGUGACUGCUGCAAAAAUUACCAUUUCACUUUGUCAUAAGCUUUUUCAAAGUCUAUUUUAAAAAAUCACACCAUUUUGUUUUUUGUGUGAAGCUCAUGUAUUAUUUCAUGGAGGAUCACUGUCCCUUCCAUAAUGUUCCUUCCAGGCAAAAAUGUUGUUUGAGUGGGUUUAAUGAUUCUUUGGGCGACUUUCACAACUCUGUUAGUGGCUACUUUGGUAAAAAAAUUGAAGCUAACAUUCAACAAACAGAUGGGUCUAUAUUGUUGAAUUUGCUUUGCAUCACUACUUUUAGGUAGUAGAAUAAUGUUCCAAAGUUGAGAGAGUGAAGAGGCAGUGUACCCCUAUGGAAUUCCUUAAAUAGAGCCAUCAAAUCUUCCUUUAUCACAUUUCAAAAAAAUUGAUAAAACUCUGGUGGGAAGUCAUCUGGGCUGGGAGCGGUGUUACUUUGCAUUUGAAAAAUAGCCUCUUUUAUCUCAUUUUUAGAAAAGGAUGCUACUAAAAGCUCAUUUACCUGUGGUGAAACAUGAGGAAUAUCGUCAUGGAGCGCCUCGUCGAUAGACACAAAGUUGUUGUCUGGUGGCCUGAACAACUUCUUAUAAUACUUGGUGAUAUACUUUUUAAGGUCAAUAUCACUGCAUAUUAGACCUUCCUCCUGUUCCAACGUUAAAAUACAAGUUUUUCUAUGCUUUCCAUUUGCCACUAACCGGAAAUAUUUUGUAUUCGCAUCACCUUCCAAUAAAUUUUUAACUUUAGCUCUUUGAUACCAUUUUAAUUCCUCUUUCCUCGAAAGCUCUGCUAAUCUAUUACUUAGUGUAUGCUUAAGAUUGAUUUCGUUGGCAUCUAAAGGUGCCACUUCCACCUUUAUGUUUAACUCAUUCAGUUUGUUCAAGAGAAUCUUUUUUUUUUAUUUUUUUAUGUACCACUAAUAUUUUUAGCCCAACCCCUCAAAUAUUGUCGCAGACGUCUAAUUUUUUCCUGCCACUAGGGUGUGUUUUCUUGUUGCACACUAUUCCAAACAUCACUCACCAUGUUAAAAAAGGCAUCACGUAGCAACCAGCCCAGCUGUGGGUUGUUUGGUGACUCAGCGUCACCUGUGUUCAUAAACAAUCAAGUGUGGUCGGAUAUCUCUCUAGUUAGUGCUUGAACUGUAGUACGUGGAAAUUUUAGUUCCCCUUCUGUGUAGGUCAAUGAUCUAUCUAGCUUUUCAAAAGUUUGUUCUUGAAGGUUAUUUGCCCACAUGAAUUGUCGCCCUGAAAUUUCCAAUUCUCUUAAAUUAAAAAGCAUUUGCUAUUGCAUUAAACAGAAAUGGCCACCCGUCAUUAUUAUUGGCAUUAUUCGUUUCAUGUGGUCCGAAAAAAAUAUUAAAGUCACCAUCUAUUAGAAUAGGUAAGGUUUCUUUAGUACAUAGGACUAGCUCGGUUAGAAAUGCCUCUUUGUACUGUUGUUGUGCCGCACCAUACGCAGACACCAGCACCCAUUGGAAGCCAUCUUGUUUGUUUCUUACAUUAAAUUUUACAAAGUAGUCACCCUCAAUUUCUCCGAUAUCAAAUGUUAGAAGGUUAACCCCAACUAGGAUGCCACCGGAUCUACCGUGAGGAGCUCUAUAGUGCUAUAAAAAGUCCUUCCCACCACAUAGGUUUUUGAGGAACUUUUCUGAGCAAUCCUUCCUCCCAGUUUCCGAUAGAGGAACAAAUUCUAAACUUUUCUCCUUAACUAGAUCAGAAAUAAACUUAAAUUUUUUUGGGUCCACUAACCCAUUACAAUUCCAAAAGAUUCCUUUCAUUAGGUACUCUUGCUGUGUUGUGAACCGCUGCUACUUUUCUUCUUCUUUUUAGCACUUGAUUUUUUCUUCCUAGGAACAGCCUGUAGAUCACAUAGAUCACUGCCAGUUCCCUCGCUUAAACCCUCGACCACAUCACCACAAAAUUGGUUCAGUGCAAGGAUAUUAAUUUCAUCAUCAGUGUCCCCCUCAUACUCUACGGAAGAAGCUAUCUUGUUUUCAAUAGAACUAUUCAACAUAGGUGCAACCUGUAACCUAUUGCGCUCAAUGUUAGAUUCCUAAUUGACUUACAAGUUCUAGAAGCUGAAGAGCCUAAACAAAUCCCCACAUGACUAAUAUUAUUAACCACUACCUCAUCAGAAAAAGAGAUGAAGGAAUCGAUCUGAGCAUUACCUUGUUUGUCGGUUUCCUCCAGAUUCUUGCGCGCUUUAAGUCUGGCAGCUUUCUCAAUUGAGUCUUGGUCAGCUGACACUGACAUCGCGCUUCUUUUACUCUUGCGAGUUGGAGUUGCUGUAGCAUUUGGUAUAGGUGUGGGAGAGGGAGAAUGCAAAGAGGUAGGCAACGAAGAAUUUUUACGAACUUGCUUACUUGCUGAAUUUCUGUUUGGAGUAGUGUGGGCUGGCUGCCGAUAAAAUGCCUCCGCCACCCAAGCUUUAGUGCUGUCCGCAACUCCAGUAGGCUUUAGAACCACUGUAUGCCGAACUUUGCUGGGAUCUGUACAACCAGAAAAGGCAGAAGCUGCAGCAGCCAUCUUGGUAGUCGUUGCACUCCCCUUACCAGUAGCACUUCCUUCUUCCCCCAACUCUUUUCCCCCUGGGUGAGCAUCUCCAUUAUUCUUUGCACUAUUUUCUUUGUUUUCCUCUUCUAGCUGCUAAUGUUUGUCUUUGUCGCCAUCUUCUUUUGGCUGCUCAUCCAUAUUAAUCAGCAGGGGAUUAGUUUCAUCCCCGUCCUUCUCCAUUCGGAAUUGUCAUCAUGUAAGCCGAAGCCCAGCCGACCAUGGCAUCAUAUUGCGUCGUUGUCGUGAUCAACGAAUGCGAAUGUCAAUGAUAUCAGUCGCUGGGAAGGCCACCUGCAUUGGUACCGCCAUCGUGGUUGCAGCUAAUGAACCCAGGCCUGUCUGUCACGGCAUUUUGGGUGGUGGAGACCGUCUCCUAGCAUGACAUGUGUUGUUUAGAGAGGAUCCAGCUAAUGGCAACGUAGAAAAGGAACUCUGAAUAUUUGUCCUUUUGCAGAUAUCAACAUUUGGGAGUGAGUUAACGAUGACUUUACUACAGGGCAGUGAUGUCUACAUAUUCUUGUUGGUGGAGAAGCAAUUCCGUGAGUCGUCAAAGCAUACAUUUAUAUAAAUAGAUACAUAUGACGCGUCUCUAUUCGUUAUUCUGUACGUGUUGUAUUCGGUAUUCUGUACGUGUUGUAGUCGGGUCUCAGAAACUAAGGGGGUGGAACACCCUGUUAAAGUUUAACACCUAUCACAUCGGAUGUUUGGAUACUAAUUAGGAGUACUAAACAUAAACUAAUUACAAAACUAAUUGCACAGAUGGAGUAUAAUUCGCGGACGAAUCUAUUAAGCCUAAUUAGUCUAUGAUUUGACAAUGUGGUGCUACAGUAGCCAUUUGCUAAUGAUGGAUUAAUUAGACUUAAUAGAUUCGUCUCGCGAAUUAGCACAAGAUACUGCAAUUAGUUUUAUAAUUAGCUCAUGUUUAGUCCUCCUAAUUAGUAUCCGAACACCUGAUGUGACACUGUUAAAGUUUAGCCCCUCGUAUCCAAACAGCCCCUAAGUCAGAUUUGUUUCCCAGACUGCUACAAAGAGAGAAAACGUAGAGGGAAUGUGAACAUCAAAUGUCACGAUCUAUUUUUGUUGUAGUAGAAUUAGGUUGGAAAAGGAGGCACCGGAAACUUAAGCCCAAACUGUGAGAGACGUACUCGAUCUUGAAUCGAUCAUCAGGCAUAAAAACUCGAAACACUAAAAUGUAGCACUGGAACCCCCAAGGCGUGAAUAGCAAAACAAGCCCGCGGAAGUUCCAAUAUUUUUUAUUACUCAUCUUCUUUAUACUUUGACCCAGCAGUAUAUAUAUAGUCAACAGCUGUUUCAUGUUCCUCCCUAAGAACUAUUUUUAUCUAAAAUUAGGCUGAUGUUGUCAAGCUAGGGGUACAUAAACACUUGUAGAUUAUUGAUUCUGCAAUUACAUCAUCCAAAUUUGCCUUCAGCAAAGCAUCAAGGAAGCAGACAUCCUUGACAUGCGGCUAUCAGAAUGAGAUUCAAGUGCAGUGAACGUUGAUUGGUGAGUUUUUUGUAGAUUACCCAUGAUUACUAAUGUGUUUUCGCUAUUGUCGAUCCUUCAGAAUAUUUAUGACAACCAAUAGUUCUAUAGCAAAAAAAAGUACCCAAAACGUUGUUCUCAACCACAUAUCGCUAAAUAGGAAAAGACUUCAUUUCAAUGCAGGGUCCUCGUAAGGUUGGUGGAUCAAUUAUAUCGUGAGCCACAUACCAUUUAUUUGAACGUAUACAUUACUACAACUUAUACCUGUAUAUUAUAUAUUUGGUCACAUGUUUUUUUAAUUGUUAAACAUUGAGAAUAUGAAUACAAGAAACAGCUAGUCACGCCAUAGCAAAGGAAAACAUUGAACCGUUUUCCUUUCUGCACAUGUUACCAGAUAGAUACCCCUCCGUUCCAACUUGGAGGUUGUUUUGAUUUUUGUAGAUUCAUCUCUACAAGUAAGGUUUCUUCCUAGGUUUUCGUACGUCAUGGUUAUUUUGCAAAAAAGUUCCUCAACUUUUAUGGAAUCAACCCGCAGUUUAAAUUCUGAAGAGAGGGAGGGCUCGGGUGGAAAAAGGAGGGGAGUGAGGGGGUUAAAGGGGAAAAAGCUUCUCCUUUCCUCAAAACAGAGAGGCGAAGGAGGGGAAUUGGGCGCAGGCGGCGGCUGGAGUAGGGCACCCUGCCACUGCCCGUGCUGCCCCGCGCGCGGCCUCGGUGGCGAGGUCGGUUGGGCAAUACGCAAGUACCAGAAGAGCACGGAGCUGCUGAUCUGCAAGCUCCCCUACCAGCACCUCAUCCGCGAGAUCGUGCAAGACUUCAAGACAAACCUGCGAUUCUAGUCCUCGGCCAUGGUGGCGCUGCAGGAGGCCACAGAGGCGUACCUCGUGGGGCUGUUCGAGGACACCAACCUCCGCGCAAUCCAUGCCAAGCGCAUCACCAUCAUGCCCAAGGACCUCCCACUACUGGAGAACUGAACUUCCAUCCACCCCUUUUGUCCCGGUUAAUAUUUAGCCCGUGACUAGUCCUGGAUCAAAAAUGAGACACCGAAAGGACACUGACGGGAGGGACUUUAGGCCCGGUUGAAAAGAUCUGAUAGCGAUGUCCCCUGCUUUCCGAUUGAAAAUUCCAACCAUGACAAAAGACCCCCUUUUGUCACGGUUGGUAAUUCCAACCGGGACAAAAGAUUUAUUCCCGGUUGAAAUUACCAACCAGGAUAAAUGGAGGAGUUUUUGUCCCGGUUAGAAUUUCCAACCGAGACAAAAGGAGAGUUUGAGCGCUAGAUUUCACGCUGCUCUCUCUCCACCUCUUCUUUAUUAUCCUCCCAGGCAGCUCCUCCCCAACAUUUAUCUUCUUCCUCUCCUCAUCCCCUCCACACCAGCGCUCCCCUCCUCCCUCUCCUCAUCCUCCUCCAGCUCCCUCCUGCCGUCACUGCCCCCUCCCCUUCCCCCUCUGCUCGCCCCUCACUGGCAGCGAGGAGCAGCAGCAGGGCGAGGUGUGGGGCAGUGGCUAGCGCGGGCGAUCAUGGCGGCGGGCGUGGGCGGCACGAGCGGCGGUCAGCACGGGGCGCGAACGAGCCGCAGCGCGAGCGGUGGCCAGAGCGGGGCCUGGACGAGUGGCGGUGCGGCACGGGCCGGCACCAGCGGCCGAGUGGCAGCGGUCGCGGUGGCCGGCGCGGGCCGCGGACGAGCGGCGGUGGGCGCGGGCGGCCGAGCAGCGGCGGUCACGGCGGUUGGCACGGGGAAGGUGGAGGCGGAGGCCGGGCGCGGGGGAGGUGGAACCGAACCUUGACGGGCGCGGGCGGAGGUCAGGCCGGCGGCCGGCCGGCCGGCGGGCGUGGGUUUUUUUAAUUUGUUUUCAAAAUUUUUUAGUCCUGGUUGGUAAUACCAACCGGGACUAAAGGAGGUCUUUAGUCCCAGGUCCGGGACUAAAGGACUCCCUUUUAUUUCGAAAAAUUUAUCCCGAAUGAUCUUUCGGUAAAUUUGAGGUCACCAACCGGGAUAAAAACCAAGGUUUCCAGUUGUGUCUAGGUCGCCUGCCGCGUCAGGGGCGAGAGGGCUUGAGCGCGUGUGAUGCUGCGUCUUCGUUGUAGUGCUAGAACUAGAUGGGUGGUUCGUUUCUUGCCGUGCUAUCUUGUAGUAAUGUUCUGAAUGUGUUGGUCUCACUUCAAUGGAAUGCGAUUGCAAGUUUCUGAAAUUUCUGAAUGGCUCUGUUCUCGUGAGAUAUGCUGUCCGUUCCAUGCCAUCUGUUGUGAUUAAAGUGUUGAGUUGCUGGAACGAAUAGAUCUGGUGUAGUCGCUUUUAGAAAUGUGGGCCUGCAGAAUUGAUUUUGUGUCAAAAAUGCUGUUGCAUAUCCCCCUUUUUGCUCUGAAGGCUAGAGUGUUGGAGAUGCCCAAGAGGGCCUGGCCCAAUUAGCAAGCUAAUCACCGGUCACGAAAGGAUUAACCUAAGGGCUAAUUGCUUCCUGGCUGCCGCACGCCAGGCUCUAGCUGCCGCCAAGCUCCUGCCGUAUGACUUGCCUCUCUGGUGCGCCGCCGCCGCCGCACGCACCUGCCUGGUGCACUGCUGCAGUUCCCCUCCCUGAUCAAAGGUUGAUCGCGGGGAUCUCAAGUACGUGCCGUUGAGUGCUAGCAUGCUUCGGUUCGUUGUCUCAUCCCAUACGUGUGGACUACCGUAGAGGUGUCGUUAGGUUGCACACUUCAUCAGAUCGUACAACUACCUCGACGUCGAUCGGAUCGACUACUCACGCUUCAUCAAGACUUCUGCUGUGACGCGCGAUGAGCGAAGGUAUAAUCUAAGAUCAUCUACUCGCAAGUGAUCCUGUUUACGCGUUUAUUUUAUUGUGUGCUAGAGAGUAGCAUGACGCGUUCCCUACCGCGUUUCCUAACAUAGAGCUGGUGCCCUCAAUUGCAGAAUCAAUGGCCUUAACUUUGCUCUUCAUUCUCAUGAGCUGCUGCUGCCGGUUGCUGCUUCAAAAACACAGAAAAGCAGUCCCUUCCUUAAUGAUUCUUGUCCAAAUCCAAACAUAAACUUGCCAAUCGCCUUUAAACAAAGAUGUACCUGGAUCAACAAGCUACAUGUGCUAGAUAGGGCUUUGGUUUCAUAGAUCGAAAGAUACAAGUCUCUGAACUUUGGGAAAAACACCAGUUACAUUGAACCUUUAGAAUUUGCUCCCGUCAGUUAUCUCCAAAGCACCGAAAGGCCACCUUUUCUUGAGCACAGAUCAUCCAAAUCUAAUGACAAACUCUCCAAGUGCCUUUAACCAAACUUGUAGAGGUACUAUAGGGCUGCAAGUUCUAGAUAGAACUUUGCUCAAAAGAUCUUUGGUUUGGAAGAUUGAGAGCUCUGACUUUCGGCUAGGAACUGAACAUUCCGGUUUCAAUUUCAGAAAUUUUCAAUGCACUUCUAACAGUCUAAAAUGCCCACCUUUCAAAUUUUGAGCUCCAUUUAAAAUAUUCAAACAUUAUUUCUUGUGAACAACAACUAGACACUAUAUCCUCGUAAACACAUAAUUAACCAAACACGCAUACCAAGAGAGCAUCAAACAAUAAAUAUUUUGGUUUAUUGUGUUCGAGAAAUGAAUAAUUAUUUCAGUAUAAGGAUAUAUGUUAACAGAAAUGCAAUAAAUAUAUAGUGAGAGAGAUAGAAAAAAACACCACGAGUUUUAAAAAUUAUUUCCUUCAACUCAAAUACCCAUUAAAUUAAAAUAUUUUUUUAUUCAAGCAAGAGAGAGCCUCGGAUCACCACCGACGGGGGCUCUUUAGUCCUGGUGGGUAAUAUCGACGGGACUAAAAAACCCCUUUAGUCCCGGUUGUAAAGGCUAGUGGCCCUCGGGAUGCUGCUCGCCUCGGCCGAGGGAGAGGGAGGAGGAGCUGGGGAGAGGGAGGAGAGAGAGAGGGAAGAGAGGAGGUGGGGGCCGGAGGGAGAAGGAGAGGAGGCUUGUGGGCGUUGGAAUUAAGGAGAGGAGGCUUGGGCGCUGGAAUUAAGCAGAGUGAGGAGAGAGGUGGCCAUCAGAGGCUGAUUUAACUCUCAUGCUUGAAUAAAAAAAUAUUUUAAUUUAAUGGGUAUUUGAGUUGAAGGAAAUUUAUUUUCAAUUAAAUGUGUAGACAUCCAAUAAGUGAAAUAAAAAUUUAGUGAUGGAAAUAAAAAAUGUCAUUAGUUUGAAAAACACAAUUGACCUUUUGCCGUAGCAACGUCACGUGCAUUUUGCUAGUAGAUAUUAUUAUGGACCUAAAUAUACAUUAUAUCUAGAUGCAUAAUAAUAUCUAUGAAUCUUAAAAAGCUAAAAUGACCUACAAUUGGGAACGGAGGGAGUAUUAGUUAACAUUGACUAUACUGCACGACAAUAACAAAUGGUUGGUGGACCAAUAAUUCUUUAGACAUAUCGACCUUACAAACAUACAUCAAGCUUUUACCAUUUAUAUGGACAUUAGAUUGGAACAAAUUGAUGCAAGGAACAUACAGUUUGAUUUAAGUACGAUGGAUUCAAUCCAUUCGGAGAGUUCAAUAGUGGUCAUAGCACUUGGCAUGUGACCUUAUGUAUGUUCAACCUUCCACCGUGGUUGUGCAUGAAGCGGAAGUUCAUUAUGAUGCCGAUAACUAUCCAAGGCCCAAAACAACCUGGCAACAACAUUGAUAUUUACCUAAGACCGUUGGUUGAUGAACUUCUACUAUUAUGGAAGGAAUAAGGUGUAUGUGUGUGGGACGAGGACAAAAAGGAGACAUUUAAUCUACGAGCAUUGUUGUUCAUAACCAUCAACGAUUGGCCAGCGCUUGGUAAUCUGUCCGGACAGUCAAACAAGGGAUUCCGAGCCUACACAUAUUGUUUAGAUGAUACUUGCAGCAUGUAUUAGAAGCACUGCAAGAAGGUCGUGUAUACGGGCCAUCAUCGAUUUCUUCCAGAUAAGCACGCUCUAAGAAAGAAAGGGAAGCAUUUUGAAGGGAAGGAAGAAGAAGGUAAUAAGCCCCUUUACCGUAAUGGUAAACGUAUAUUUUCUAUGAUAAAGGAUGUGAGGGUAGUCUUUGGUAAGGGCUCUGGUAGCCAACCAAUUCCGACCAAUGAGGACGGACAUGCACCCAUGUGGAAGAAGAAAUCUAUAUUUUGGGAGCUAUAUUGUUGGGAAGUCCUUGAGGUCCGUAAUGCAAUUGAUGUGAUGCACCUGAUGAAAAAUCUCUACGUGAACGUGCUUGGCUUCUUGGGUGUAUAUGGAAAGGUAAAGGAUACACUUGAAGCACGUCGGGACCUGAAACUUAUGAAUCAACGAGAUGACCUACAUCCGGAAAAAAGAGAUAAUGUCAUUACUUGCAUCCUGCCAGUUACACUCUUAGUAAGGAAGAUAAGGAAAGCAUGUUUGAGUACUUGAAUAGUAUCAAGGUCCCAUCGAGCUACUCCUCAAAUAUAAAGGCAUUAAUAAAUUUGAAAUAGAAGAAAUUCAUAAAUCUAAAGGCCCAUGACUGCCAUCUCUUCAUAACACAAUUGUUGUCUGUUGCACUGAGGGGUAUUCUUCCAGAAAAUGUGAGAAUGGCAAUCGUGAAGCUAUGUGCAUUCCUCAACAUGAUUUCAAUGAAGGCAAUCCAUCCAGACAAUCUACGGAAGCUGCAGAAUGACGUGGUGCAAUGUCUUCUCAGUUUUGAGAUGGUGUUUCCACUUUCCUUCUUUAAUAUCAUGACCCACCUUGUAGUCCUCCUUGUUGAAGAGAUUUUUGUUCUCGGUUCUGUAUUUCUACACAAUAUGUUCCCUUUCGAGAGGUUUAUGACAAUUCUGAAGAAGUAUGUUCAUAGUCGUGCCCUUCCGGAAGGAAGCAUUGCAAAGGGAUAUGGAACAGAGGAGAUAAUUGAGUUUUGUGUUGACUUUAUGGAUGACCUGAGUUCGAUUGGAGUCCCUACAUCACGCUAUGAGGGGAGACUGAAGGGAAAGGGCACACUAGGGAGGAACGCUCAGAUGGAUAUCGAUGAGGAGACAUUACGUAAAGCACACUUCACGGUCCUACUGAAAUCAUCCCUGGUCGCUCCAUAUAUGGAGGAGCACAUGGCUAAUGUAUGGUCCUCAAAACAAGGGAAGACUGAGGUCUAGAUUACACGUCGUCACAUUGAAACAUUUGGCACUUGGUUAUGGCAUAAACUGAUGGGUGAUGACACCAUUGAAGAACAACUAGCAUGGUUGGCUAGGGGUCCAUUUAUGUCAGUAUCAACAUUCCAAGGAUACAAGAUAAAUGGGUACACAUUUUACACCAGAUCCCAAGAUCAAAAGAUCACAAACCAAAAUAGUGGUGUCUGUAUCGAUGCAAUAGACAGCAAUGGAAAAAAAGACAGACACUAUGGUGUCAUUGAGGAGAUAUGAGAACUCGACUAUGGACCUUUGAAAAUCCCUCAAUUUUGAUGCCAAUGGGUGAAACUUAAUGGAGGAGGCGUAAUGACAGAGAACUAUGGGAUCACAAUAGUGGACCUCAACAAGAUUGGAUACAUAGAUAAACCAUUCAUCCUAGCCAAUGACGUGACUCAAGUUUUCUAUGUGAAGGACAUGGCAGCAAAGCAAUAAGGAAGGCCGCUAAUAGGUCAGGUGAUCAGCCAAAGCACCAUAUUGUUCUUCCAGGGAAAAGAAAAAUCGUUGGAGUUGAGGACAAGAAUGAUAUUUCAAAAGAUUAUGAUCAGUUCGAUGAUCUUCCUCCAUUUUCAUUUGAGGUUGACACAAGCGUCCUGUUAGCCAAAGAGGACACUCCAUACUUACGCCGCAAUCACAACCAAGGGACGUUCGUUAAGAGGAGGGUUAUUAACCUUCCAUUAGAUGAUGAUGCAUAAUGUAUUUGAACAAUUAUGUUGUGUUUUUUAUUAUCAACAAAGGCAUUAAUGUAAUUGUGAAUGGUUAGAUCUUGUUUUUCCAAAUACAAUUCUCAUGUGUUGUUUAACUUUUUUGUCCAGCUAAAAUAUUGUUUAACUGAUUUUUGCACGGUUAAAAUAUUAAAUAUUUUGAUUUUUUAAGCACCAUUAAAUAUUAACACAAUAAAUUUACAUACAAUUAAACAAGAACAUGAUUAAGGGGUUGUUUGGAUAUGAGGUGCUAAACUUUAAUAGUGUCACAUCGGAUGUUCAGAUGCUAAUUAGGAGGACUAAACAUGAGCUAAUUAUAAAACUAAUUGCAGAACUCUGUGCUAAUUCGCGAGACGAAUCUAUUAAGUCUAAUUAAUCUAUCAUUAGCAAAUGGUUACUGUAGGACCACAUUGUCAAAUUAUGGACUAAUUAGUCUUAAUAGAUCCAUCUCGUGAAUUAUACUCCAUCUGUGCAAUCAGUUUUGUAAUUAGCCUAUGUUUAAUACUCCUAAUUAGCAUCCAAACAUCCGAUGUGACAGGUAUUAAACUUUAAUAGGGUGUUUCCAAACACCCCCUAAGUCAUGGUAAACAUGUUAAGAACAGUAGAGGCACCAUUCUUCUAAAUUUUUGCAUGGUCAAAAAAUCUUUUUUUUUGAAUUUUAAAGUGAAUAGAAGUAUUAUGACCAUUAUAUCCUAUUACUAAGUUAAAAUUAAUAACUUUACCAUGUUUGAUAUUGACCGCAUCUGAUAUUUUUAUAGUGUAUAUCUUAUAAACAUGAAGCUACCAUUAUUGUUACAAUUUUUAUGAAUGUUAUUAAGUUUACUAUGUAAUAAAUUAAUAUAAUAGAAAUUGUAAAAGAAAGAAAAAAAAUAAAAAGAUGGGCGGGGAAUUGAAAAAGGGUCAUGCUGUGCUUCGUCCUCCUCCUCCCGAUCCGCCGCCUCUCCGCCACCGCCGCCGCCGUCUGCCGCCUCCGUUGCCACCCCUCAACGUCGACGCCACCCCCCGCCGCCGCGCAACGCCGUCCUAGCUGGCCCCAACGGUGCCGCCCCAUCCCGACACGACGCUGCCCCGCCUCUGACGCCGCCGCACCGACGCUGCCGCCCCACCCCACCCCCAACGCCGCCGCCCCGCCUGUGACAAUGCCACCCCAUCUCUGCCACCCUAACACUGCCUCCCCGUCGACCGCCGCCUACCCCGGUCGCCUCCCCGUGGGCCGCUGCCUACCCCGGCCACGUCCCCGCCGGCCUCCACCGGCGCCGCCCGACGCCGCCCCACCCCCAGCGCACGCACCCUACAGACUCGCGCUGACGUAAGCCUGCGGCCGCCGUGACGUCAUUAUUUAGUUUUUAUAAGUGCUGGAAAUCAUGCCGUGACGUAGAAAAAUUGUAGGAAAUUUGUAUUAGUGUUGGAAAUCAUGCUGUGAUGUAGAAAAAUAGCAUGAAAUUUGUAUAAGUGUUGGAAAUCAUGCCAUUUGUUUUUUUUAUUGUCAUAGUAGUAGAGAAUAGGUAGAAAUUAUAGAAAAUUGUUGGAGUAGCUAGAAAUUAUAGAAAAUUGAAAUACUUAGAAAUUGAAAUCAUGCCAUUUAUUUUUUUAGAAUUGAUUCUUCCCAUGAAUUGAAAUACUUAGAAAUUACCAACAAAUCUGCCGUGACGUCAUUGUUAUACAAAAAUGUUGAAAAUAGCUAGAAAAUUAUCGAAUAUUAUAGAAAAUUAUCUAGAAAUUGUUGGAAAUCAUGCCAUUUAUUUUUUUGUCAUUCUAUUUAAAUGUUGUAUAGUGUUAGAAAUUUGUAUAAGUGUUGGAGAUUAUCUAUAAAUGUUUUAUAAGUGACGUCAUUAUUGUUUCAUUCAAUUUUUGUUGUUAUUUUCUUGCAGUGUUUCAUUCUAUUUUUGUUGUCAUUUUCUAGCAGCGUUUUAUUCUUUUUUUGUAUAAGUGACGUCAUUCAAUUCAUUUUUCUAUUUACUCAUUUAUUUAUUUCAACCAAUUGUAUAAGUGUUUCAUUCUUUUUGUGUCACCCUAUUAUAUUAUACCAGUUACAAUGGCACGAUCAGACGACGAGCGUGACCCUCAAACGGCAGAGGAGCUCCUAUAUCGGAUAAUUGCUGAAGGUGGCAAUCAAGCAAAUGAAAAGAUCGAUCAUAGCCAGGCUGACAUCUACCUCAACCUGGUUGGUGAUGGCAUCGAGGAGCAAUCAAUUGCCGAGGGAGGCAAUGUGGAGCAACCAGAUGCCGAGGGAGGCAAUGUUGAGCAACAAGGCGAGGUAUAACAAGUAUUAUACGUAAACAUUAUUUGAAUUCUCUUCUUAUCAAAAGAAACAUCAUCACGCAACAUUUCAAUUGUCAUUUUUCAGCCCUCUGGAUCAAGCAAAAGGCCUCAAAAGAAACGAGGCAAGAAUAAGAAGGCCGAGGGCCGUAUCAUCGUCACAGAAAUUGCUGAAGAUGGUGAACCAAUUGCUCCUGCCAAAGCUAAGACAAAGUUGGUGGAUCAUAUUGGGUUCCUUGUUAGAGAUAACAUCCCAAUCGGCUUUCAGAAUUGGAAAAAAACCUGACAUAGUCCCGAUCAGCACAAACCCACUCCUUUACGUACCUAACCGAGAGAAGGCUAUGGUAUGGGAAGAAGUAAAACAAAACUUUAGGUUCGAAAAUGUAGACGAAGCCAAAGUGAAAGAAUGGGGCUUGAAGAAGGGUGCGAUUGCAUUUUAGACGUACAAGAAAACCUUGACCAAGGAGUACAUAAAGAAGGGGCUUGCACCUGAUUUAAAUAAGCAUCCGAAGAUAAGGGAUCACUGGGAUUCCUUUGUAUAGUUCAAGGAGUCGAGCAGUAGCCAGUUGUCAACUCAAACCAACACCGGCAAUGCCCAACAGAAGCGAUACUUCCAUCAUCUUAGGAUUGGAGGUUACAAGUCUACGACCGCGAAAUGGCAAAGGAUGGAAGAUGACCUAAUUGCUAGGGGAAUAGUACCAUAUACUCUCGAAUGGCCUGAGUGAGAAAAAAAUUGGUUUUAUGCUCAUGGCGGCAGGCUCAAUUCUAAAGAUGGAUCAAUUAUCAUCAGAAAUGAAAUAAGAGAAGCGGCUACUAGACUUGAUGACUUCGUGAAAAAAACAGCUGAUGGAUCCUUCGUGCCUGAUCGAGAGAGGGACAAGCUGACAAUGGCACUUCAAAAUCCUGAACACCCUGUAUGAUACCGAGGCAAAGGACAUAUUCUGUUUCUAGUAUGCGUUUUGUGAGAACAUUGAAUCAUAUAGAAGUCGCCAGAGAAGCAAGGCCAACCAAGCACGACAGUUGUGAGAGCUGCAACAACAAGUAGUAGCAUCUAAGGUAAGAAUAGAGGAAAUAAUAGAUGAGCAUGUGGCCAUAGCUCUGAGCAAACAAGCCAGUCAACAAGCAGCUGCUGCACCAUCAGGGCUACAUGUCAACGUAAGCCCGACUCAGCGUCGAAGCAGUGUCACUUCAACGGAAGCCGCAACUGGAGGAUCCACUGACAUCAUUGAGGAACACCACCUCGUGGACGACAUCACAAGGAGAGCCUCUUGUGAGCUUUUUACUCCCGUGAGAAACAAGCUCAUAGUGGUGGCUUAUGGUGUGGCUAAGCAACCAAUGCAAGGCCAAACACUACAUGGCAUCGAGACUCAAGCUUGCUAUGCCAAGGUUGGGGUGGACCGAGUGGCCGACGAUUGGGAGGACUUGGAACUGGAGAUCCCUAGAGGUGACGGGGAAAAGAACUAGGAGAAGCUAUCCAUGGUUGGAUUAAGUGGCCCAAGGGCUACAUAAGGAUUACGCAGUCGAAUCCCCCCACCUUGGGUGCAUCUCCUCAAGGCUCAAGGGCACGAUCACUUACGCCAUCUGCCAGUGCACCCUCUCCACUACCAGACAAGUCUCCUAGCAUGAGUCCAGCACCAGAAAGGAAUCCAAGCAUAACUCCAACUCCCCCUCCUAUGAAGAAGUAUUCAGUUCCUCCUCCACCUCCACCUUCUAAGAAGAAGCAGAAGAAGCAGAAGGAGAAUGCACCAGCUGAGAAAUUACCGUAUGAUAUGAUAGAUGAGGAAUGUACGGCUGUAGCGGCUGCUAAGCAUGAAAAAUGGAAAGAGGCUUGUAAAGAAGCAAGAAGGAAGAAACAGAAUUCGGAGCCACCACUGGAUAAGCAUAAGGUUCGGUCUUUCAUCAGAAAAAUGGAGGCGGAGCAAAGGAAAAAGCUAGAAAAACCUCCUCUAUCUGAUUACGAUAGGCAAAUAACAAAGUAGGCAGCUCAUAAGAGGAAGAAAAGUGGGAAAUCUAUUUCUCAACUCAGAGAGCAAUCCAACCAAUUGGUUGCCCCGCUUGUGGUACUUUCUGAGUUUGACAAAAACCUGGUUGAAUUCGCUAAAAAUACAAAUCUGACAGUGGCACAACUUCAAGGGGAGGAUGACAUCCCAACGCUCCAUGUGCCUGUUAAAUGGAAAUAUGAGUAUGGUAUAUUUCCGAAGUUUGUGAAAUAUCUGCCAACGAAGAUGUACAAGCUGCACCAAUGGUACAAGCAGGCUACAUCAAAUGGUUAUGUUGCGAUGGAAGUUCGGGUUGGUGAUCAACAUUACUUCCACGGUGAUGAUAUCAUAAUGGUGGACCUAGACGAACUGUACAUGCUAUACAAUCAAGAUGCACUAGACAAGUCACUAAUCAGUAGCUGGGUCCUGUAAGUCUUUAGUAUAUUCCUCUAACUUCAAAAUCCUCGCUCUAGUCAAUUUUCGAUAUCUUAACUCCUAUUUGAUUUUGCAAUGUGCAGUAUGGAGAUGCAAUAUUGUCGUAGUAUGGGAUACCAUGAUGUAGGCUUCAUGGACCCCUUCAAUUAUUUUUCAGGAUAAUCUAAGGGAUAAACCAAAAUGGACCUUGAAGAAUAUAUUUAAGUUCCUCGACAAGCAUUAGGACAAGAUGCGCAUAUUACUACUGUGGAACUUCGAGUGAGCAUUUUUCCCAUCUCUUUCUUUUCCGAACUAGCACUUAAACAUAAUACUAACUAUCUUCAAUUUGGAUGUACAGGUACCAUUGGGUACUCAUUAUUAUUAUCCCUGAUUAGAGCUUAGUGACUGUCUGGGACUCUUUGAGGAAACCAAAAGGAAAAUUCGAUAACACCAUGAACACUCUGAACAAAUGCUGGACUCGAUGGCGUCGGACUCACAAGGGUGAUUUCAAGGAGCAACUCGAUUUGCAUACACAUUUCCCGGUAUAUGUUGAAUUUUCACAUCUCGUGACACUUCUUUUAACACAACAAAUAUUUCAUAAUUUUUUUUCCAUAUAUAUAGUGUGCGAGACAGCAGGAGGGUACUCAUUUAUGCGGAUACUACGUUUAUGACUCAUCCACGAAUUUGUGGGUCCGAAACGUAUCACCGAACAAGAAAUAACCGUACGUAUACAAAAUUAAUUUGCUUGUACUUCAAAAACCAAAUUAGGUGUAUAUAUGUAGAAUAUUAAAUUAAGUAUUUCAAUUCGGAUACUUAUACUUCAAAAACCAAUUCAAGUGUAUAUACUUAGAAAAAUUAGAUUAAGUAUUUCAAUUCAUAUGCUUAUACUUCAAAAAAAGUUUCAAUUGUUCAACAAAUUUAGAUUAAGUAUUUCUAAUUCAUUUGGCAAUGACACAGAUGAUGAACAGGAAGGAAAAACUUCUCGACACCGAAGUUUUCAGGGCAAUACAAGAUCAACUAUGUGGAUUUCUUCUGGACGAGGUCGCAAAUUUUGCGGGCGAGUUUCAUAAUUUAAGAUCUAAUCUAGUGCACAAAGCGGACUCGAGUUCAGAUUAGUAAUUAAAUACGAUAUGUGUAUGCACAAUAUGUAUAUAUAUAUAAUAUUAUCUCAAAUGUUAUAAAUAGAACUUUCCAUGAAUUAGCAUAUUAGAACGUAAAGGAAACAAAUACAAAAUAUAGACUAAAAAACAGAAAUAAGAAAAGAAAAGAAAAAAACUUAGUACCGGUUGGGGAUACCACCAACCGGUACUAACGAGAGCACCUCCCCGCAUGGCGUGGGAAGCUCUUUAGUACCGGUUGGUAUCCCUAACCGGUACUAAAGAGUACAUUUUAGUACCGGUUAUUUGAACCAGAACUAAAGGGUCCCCCUCUAGUACCGAUUGGCUAAUACCGGUUGCACAACCGGUACUAGAGGGGGGUUAUAAACCGGUAUUGGAUGUCAUUUUUCCAGUAGUGUACCAUGGGCUAGCUCGCUGAAGUGCCAAACUGGACGCUGAAAUAAGCAGAGGCAGAAACCAGUGGAUGGCUAGGUAGCGCCGGCCGGUGAUUGAUCUCUCUCACACAACGACUGAAGAGUCUCCCUGGAUGGGAACCUGCUGAGGCCAGUGGCGAACUGUGUCGUGGUACACAUACUAGCUUUGUUUAGGUCUUCGUCUGGAACACAAAGUGUGUAAAUCUAUGGAGAGACGCCAUUUUGAACAGAAAGAUACGCUCACAGUUUUAGCACCAUGGACUCGCUCAGAUCGAGCUAGCAGCACGCUAAGCUUUUCUCUGCUUCUUUCCAGCGUCAAGAUAGGCACUUCAGCGAGCAGCCCACGGUAGAAUUUCCCGGUAUGGAGCCCAACCAGAUCAAGUCCUCCUAUGUGCUCUGCAGUACGCAUUGCACGCCGCUUAUUAUUCCGGUCCUAGCAUGUAUGUUCAGGUUUUAAUAGAAAAAAAUCAUUUUUAACCUUUCAGGUUUUACGAAAAAAAGUUCAUUUUUGACCAUUGAUUAUUGAAUUAUCACCGGAGUCCGAUUUUGACCAUCAAGUUUCGUCAAAAAAUAAUCUAUUUAUUAAGAGAUGCCAUCUUGAACAGAAAGAUACUCUCACACUUUUGACACCAUAGACUCGCUCAGAUGAAGCUAUCAGCACGCCAAGCUUUUCUCUGCUUCUUUCCAACGUCCAGAUCAGCACUUCAACGAGCCAGCCCACGGUAGAAUUUCCCGGUACGGAGCCCAACCAGUACAGAUCAAUUCCACAUCUGUGCUCUGCAUUCCGCAUUGCACGCUGCUUAUUAGUACGGUCGUAACAUGUAGGUUCAGGUUUUUAUAGAAAAUAAAUCAUUUUUGACCAUUCAGGUUUUUAUGAAAAAAAGUUCAUUUUCUACCAUUGAUUAUUGAAUUAUCACCAGAGUCCGAUUUUGACCAUCAAGUUUUAUCAAAAAUAAUCUAUUUAUUCAGAGAAAAAAGAUACGCUCACACUUUUAGGACCAUGGACUUGCUCAGAUUGAGCUAGCAGCACGCUAAGCUUUUCUCUGCUUCUUUCCAGCGUCCAGAUUGGCACUUCAGCGAGCCAGCCCACGGUAGAAUUUCCUGGUACGGAGCCCAACCAGUACAGAUCAAGUCCUGAGCUGUGCUCUGCAUUCCGCAUUGCACGCCGCUUAUUAGUCCGGUCCUAGCAUGUAUGUUCAGGUUUUUAUAGAAAAUAAAUCAUUUUUGAUCAAUCAGUUUUUUAUGAAAAAAGUUCAUUUUUGACCAUUGAUUAUUGAAUUACCACCGGAGUCUGAUUUUGACCAUCAAGUUUUGUCAAAAAAAUAAUCUAUUUAUUAAGAGACGCCAUCUUGAACAGAAAGAUACACUCACACUUUUGGUACCAUGGAUUCGCUCAGAUGGACCUAGCAGCACGCUAAGCUUUUCUAUGCUUCUUUCCAGCGUCCAGUUCGGCACUUCAGCGAACCAGCCCACGGUAGAAUUCCCCGGUACGGAGGUUGGCGGUAGAAUUUCCCGGUACGGAGCCCAACGAGUACCGAUCAAGUCCUCACCUGUGCUCUGCAUUCCGCAUUGCACGCCGUCCGGUCCUAGCAUUUAUGUUCAGAUUUUUAUAUAAAAUAAAUCAUUUUUGACCUUUCAGGUUUUUAUGAAAAAAAGUUCAUUUUUGGCCAUUGAUUAUUGAAUUAUCACCAGAGUCCGAUUUUGACCAUCAAAUUUUAUCAAAAAAUAAUCUAUUUAUUAAGAGCGUCAUUAAAAAUAAUCUAUUUAUUAAGAGCGUCAUUUUGAACAGAAAGAUACGCUCACACUUUUGGCACCAUGGACUAGCUAGCAGCAUGCUAAGCUUUUCUCUGCCUCUUUCCAACGUCCAGUUCGGCACUUCAGCGAGCCAGCCCACGGUAGAAUUUCCUGGUACGGAGCCCACCCGCAUUGCACGCCGCUUAUUAGUCCCGUCCUAGAUGUAUGUUCAGGUUUUUAUAGAAAAUAAAUCAUUUUUUACCAUUCAGGUUUUUAUAAAAAAAGUUCAUAUUUGACCAUUGAUUAUUGAAUUAUCACCUGAAUCUGAUUUUGACGAUCAAGUUUUGUCAAAAAAUAAUCUAUUUAUUAAGAGACGCCAUCUUAAACAGAAAGAUACGCUCACACUUUUGACAAUAUGGACUCGCUCAGAUGGAGCUAGCAGCACGCUAAGCUUUUCAUUGAAGAAAGGCAAGUGUCCCUAACCAUCCUUCUACCUAUACUUUGUUUAUAAUACCAUGAUAAUUUUUAAUCAGAACUUGGAGCGACCACCCAGGAAAACAGUGCUACCACAGGACUAAAUGGCUCUGGUCUUGGCUGAGUAAUUAGAAACUCUAGUCUAGGGUAAUCUUACCGAAAGGGCAAGAGGGAAGGCGCUGAUGGGGUAUAGCACUCGCUCUCUUGGGACGUGGGCUUUGCUAAGACACUGUACCCAUUAGGGGACUGUUAUGCUCUGUUUCGACCUGAAAGCUUAGCGGGUUACCACUUACUAGCGAAUCUUUGUAAAGGUCUCGUAGCGUCCCGAUGCAAUCACACCUCGGAAGUGUGGUAUGGUGCUUGGCCAGCACCGCAUGGUUGGGUCCAAAGUUCUUCUGAACUUUGACGCGACUUGUGGGUAAAGAUGUGCCACCUCUGCAGAGUGUAAAACUGAUAUAUCAGUCGUGCUCACGGUUAAGAGCGGCUUGGACCCUCACAUGAUUAACUAAAUUUGAAGAUAGACUUAAAUCGUUAUUCUGGUUAUUUCUAGUGGCCUUGCUGAGUACCAACCAUAAGUGUACUCACCCUUGCUUACUGCUGCUCAGAAGAAGGUGUGUGGAGUAUUCCGAAGAUGAUGCUGAGUUCUAAGCGUACGCAACCCCCAGUCGAUUGCCUGUGAAGUUUGGAGCCCCUGUUUCCGAAAUUAAGCUGUAUAUCUCUGAUGGUUUCGUAAGUCUUUUUUUUAUCUUUUUACAUGAUAACUGUUGUUCACUUAUGAUGUCACUAUGUAUAAAACUUGAUCGUGACAUACGGUUGGUCACACAUCUCGCCUCCACGGCCGUAACGCCAUCAUCCCAGCACCACAACGAUCGACCUCGUUAGCUUGCCGUGCGUGCGAGUCCAUCUCGCGGCGCGGCGCAGCGUUGGUCGCCCCAGUCGAUCGACACCGACAGCGACCCCUUUGUGGUUGUGGUGUGGUCGCCGCGCCGCGAUAAAACACGCCUAGAAGGCCAGAAUCGAUGAUACCCCCCUCGCCAAAUUUUCCACACGCCCCGAAUGGAGCGCAGCGAUCGAAAACCGUAAGCCGCGCAAACCACCGGCCACGGCCCGCACGGCCAAGGAACACGUCGUUCUCCUCCAGUCUCCCACCCCGCACCACGCGCCGGCGCCGCGCGCGCGCGCCUAUUUCUAGCUCGCCUCCUUCCGCCUCGCCGCCACGGAGUCCUCACCUCGACACACUCGAACACACCUCUGUUCCGGAAGCAGGGACAAGCAAAGCAAAGCUCUCACAAAGUCCCAAGCGAGGAGCACGGCGCAGCGGGGGCAUGCUGACGCUGCACCCGAGGGCGGUGGCGGGCGUCGCCGCGGAGGCGGCGGCGCCCGAGGACGGCCAUGACGAGGGCCGCGCCUGCUACUGCGUCGUGGCGGCCUGCGUCUCGCUGCUGCUCUUCGUCGUGCUGGCCGCUGCCACGGCCAGCGUCGCCAAGGCUUGCGCCGUAUCCGGCGCGGCCGUGCUCCUGCUCGGCCUCGCCGGCUGCCUCGCGCCCUCGUAGGACGGUGUUAAAGCGGCGGCGCGGCAGCAGGCUCCCGCUGCGCCCGUGCGGCUGGUGGUGCACCACCGCUGCGCCGCGUGCGGGCUGCCGGACGCCGCCAUCGGCGUGCUCCCGACGUUCGCGUAGGAGCCGCCGCCGCCGCCGCCCGCGGCGGCGGCGACGACAAGCCGCGCCGCAGCAGCUCCGUGCUGCUCUGCGCGGUGUGCCUGGAGGACGUGCGGGCCGGCGAGGUGGUGCGCCAGCUCCCGGCGUGCCGCCACCUCUUCCACGGCGACUGCGUCGACGCCUGGCUGCGCGCGCACCGGACCUGCCCGCUCUGCCGCUGCGACCUCUCCCCGCCGAACGUCACCUCGAAGGCUGUCGCCCCUCCCCCGGCCGCCGCCGCCGCCGCCGCCGUCACGGUGGGGUCCUCGCCCGACGGCCUGCCGCCGGUGUGAGGACUCGAUCGUCACCAGUUCACCGGAAUCUGGGCGGCGCAUCCGUGAUUCCUACUGUACAUUCAUGAUCUCAAACACAGCAUAAAACAGACUUUUAGGUUGAUGGUAUAGUGUUCACUGUCGCUGAUGUGUAAUUCUUCAUUGCGACACAUGACCAAGCAAAGAUUUGAUUUCGAAAGCGCAGAAGAUAGCCAGCCAGCCGUGCGUCGCCGGACACGACCGCGAGAAAUCGAGUGGCUGGCUCCAAACCUCUCGCCUGACGCUUCUUCCAGUUGCGAAAGAUAAGGAGCAUCUAGCCGAUGGAGACCGGUACCGGAUAGUACGGAGCGUGGAGCUCGACGUGCUUGAAAUCGGCCGCUACCAGACAACCCGGUCGCUCACGUCAGUUGCAGCUUAACUGAUGUUAGUGUGGAGCAUACACCACGGGAGUGUGGGAAUGUUGUCGCACAGGCCAAUUACAGUUUGGAGUGUAUGGAACAAGAAGAAACGUCCGUGUUUCCCAGGCAACUGAAGCUUUUGGGCCGUUGGGAUUAGCUAGGUUUAGGUGAGAUGAAGACAUCAUUUCAUUGUUGGCUUAUAUGUGUUGUUGAUCGCUCAGAGACUCGAUCCUGGAUUGAUUGGAACUGGGGAGGUUUGGACCCAUCUUUUUCUUUCUUUCUUUCCUUUGCUUCGCUUGGUUUCAGGGCAGACGGGAAUGAUGACGCUCGAUUAACAACAGAUAACUUAAAGAUCUAUACAUUGAGAUACUUUUGUUGCGUGAGAUUUGCGUCGUCAGUGAUGAUCUUCUGCUCUAGACACCGGUCACGAGCAGUGGAGGACAUGCUGCGGGUAGCAUCUCGGUGUAGAGGGCAUCCAAAAAUAGAGUGAUUAGCGUGACGGCAGCAAGAAAGCCGCUAGAAACCGAGGUAUGCGGUCCCGCAAGGUAAGGGCUGAGGUGUUUGAUUUGAGAAAUGAGAUAGUCCAUCACUUCAUCAAUGUCUCACUCACUUUUUUUUAGUUUGCGGAAAGAAAUGACUUGAUCCUGCACCACAUCAUUCCUCCCAGAAUAAUAAUUAGUGCCAGACCGAAUUUGAGGAAUGGAGUUUGGACUCAUGAUGCACCACGUCAUCUAGAAUGAGAUGGUUUCUCAAACCGAACAAUCCUGAGAUGAAACACACCUUGAACUAUGGGAAACCUCAAAUUUGCCGAGUAUUUUUUUUGCCGAGUGUUUUUUUUCGAACACUCAGCAAACAAGCUCUUUGUCGAGUGCCGGGCUAAAAACACUCGGCAAAGAAAAAACACUCAGCAAACGAGGAACUUUGCCGAGUGUCAAAAAAAACACUCGGCAAAGAGGCGGUUUUUCUCUUUUCACCUUGAAAUUUUUUCUACUCCCCACAUACAACAUGUGGUACUCCCUGUUAAAAUUUGGUACAUUUUUUAAUUUGUUUGCUAUAUUUAUUUAAUUAAUUGUAUUUCAAGAAAAAAUUUGGUAUAAGUCAAAUUUGAACCGCAAGUGAUUCAAAUUAUAGAAUAAAAUGAGUAGAAAAAUGAUAUUCAUGUUAUUUGGUCCAAUUUGAGACUUGACCCGUGAAAUGAAAAGAAAUUUUGAACAUCUUGUUCAGGAAACACGACCACGAAUGUGUGGCAGUGGUAUUUUUAAAUUGUAAAAAAAACAGCAAAGGCUGAAAAUCAUGAGAUUUGUCAUGAUGUGAUGGUAUCAUACGUGGAGGUUGUGGAAAAAAAUUGAGAAGGUUUUGCACGUUUCAUCACGUACGAUGUUUACAAACCGAAGAAUCUCAGAAGAAGAAUAGUAACGUUGAGAAGGAUUCGAUAAGAUUUGGAGUCAAAGUGACGGUCGAGUUUUGAUUUGACUACAAAACUUUUUGUAUAGUCAAUAGAGAAUAUAUAUUAUUUUAUGUGAAUUUUUGGUAAUUUUUUGGAACUGUUAGAUAAUUUUUGAAUUUUUUUUAAAAUAGCUUUGCCGAGUGUCCUAGGUUAGACACUCGGCAAAGCAACCCUUUAACGAGUGUCACACCUAGGACACUCGGUGAUUUUUUUUUGUUUCCACACCGCCCCCAGGACAUAGUCCCAACGACCCCAGCACCCCACCCGGCCCCCUCCGCAACCCCCAUCCGCCCCCUCGUCUUCCUCCGCAACCCCUACCCGCGCGUCCCCUCGUCUUCCUCCUCCACCCCCACCCGCCCCCCACCUUCCUCUCCCUGUCACUGCCGCCCGGCAUCCGGCGCCGACCCCCGCCGCCGCCCCUUCCCUCCCUCCCUCUCCUUCCCCAGCUCCCUCCCCUCCGGCUGGAUCCGCGCCGUCCUUCCCCGGCUCCCUCCCCUCCGGCUGGAUCCGCGCCCCCUUCUUCCCCUACGGCGCGGAUCCGGCAGCCCCCAGCUCUCUCCCCUCCGGAUCUGGGGCGGGCCAGGGGCGGCACGGGCCACGGAGCUGUCCAGGAGCUCCGGGAGGUUUCCGCGGCAGCUCCGGGUGGUGUCAGCGGCGGGCUUCCCCCCACCUCCCCAGAUUCUAGUGGCGGCGUGGUAUUGGUGGUAGCGGCGGGGCCGUGGAUGGCGGCAGCGGCGGGGGCUGGUGGCGCGGCGGCGGCGCUGUUGGUGGAUGGCGGCAGGCUUCGUGGCGUGGCGGCGGGAGAAAAGGGUGGCAGCCUGGUGGCGGCGGGAGGCAAGGGUGGCGGCGGCUGGCGGUGGCGCUAGCUUGUUUUUUUUAUUUUUUCCAAAAAAUCUUUGCCGAGUGUUUUUUGCCACUCGGGAAAACUUUUACCGAGUGCCCAACAAAAACACUCGGCAAAGUCUGUUUGCCGUCACUUAUUUUGCCGUGUGCCGUUUGCCGAGUCAGCAAACGGUUCGCCGAGUGUUUUUUGCCGGGCACUCGGCAAUUUUCGUGUGUCCCGGAGCCGGUUGCCUUCAUAUCGUGACCGUCAUUAGUAAUGUGUCGCUGAAAAAUGUGUGUUUUCAGUUGCCUAUUGAUAGCGUUGCCCUCAUUAGUAAUCGACUUCAUCGGCCGGUACGACCUGGUUUGAAUAAAACUAUACUCCUACCUAUAAAAAACUGUGGAAGUGGAACAGAUGAAAAUCGACUUGGUCAGUCAGUGUCCAUUACAGAUAUUUUGCAGCUUGUCUCAGUCAGUACUCAGUAGUGUUCACGGGUUCUUUUCAAAUCGCAAUUCACUGUGUGGAAAAGGCGGUGACGACCUGGCAGAGUUUGCAAGAUCGCUAGCAUAAUAAUUGCAUUAUCGUUGACAAAAUACGCUACGUAUAUAUACAGCCAGCAGAACAGCACACUAGCACAACUAUAUUUAAUUAAAACCCAAAAAAGUAUGUGCAAACCUAUCCUUGAAGUUGAAACUACCCUGUAUACAGCCGCCGUGGCACGGCGCACCCGCACCCCCCUGCCGGAGCUACACCGGCGGCAGCGGCGGCGGCUCGGUCGACGGCUGCUGCACGGGCCCCUCGGGCGGUUCUUUGCCUCCCUUCUUCUGCGGCACGACAUGGCACCUGCACACGGGGCACGUCGCGUGCGAGUCGAGCCACAUGUCGAUGCAGCCGACGUGGAACGCGUGCGCGCACGCCGGCAGCCACCGCGCCGCCUCCCCGGCCUUCAUCGCCUCGAGGCACACCGCGCAGUCGCUGACGGGCGCGCCCGCGGCCGCCGGCUCGUACGGGAACGCCGGGGCGACCGCCGCGAUGGCGGCCGCCGAGAGCCCGCCCCGGCUGAGCCGCGCCUCCUCGUCGUCGCUGGCGGCCCGGGCGGCGAAGGUGCGGGACGCGCAGGAGAGCACGAAGAGGAGCGCGCAGUACAUGGCAAGCGCGACCCACAGGUACCGGACGAACGCGGCCAGGAUGACGAGGAGGAGCAGCACCGGGUACGACGCGAGCACCAGCGCGCUCCGCUGCGCCGCCAUGGAGUCGCCGAAGACCUGCUGCGCGCGCCACGGGUACUCCUCCGCCGCCGCUGACAUCGCUGGGAUUCUGGCUGUACCUAUUGGGUUAGCAGGUGGCUGCUGUCGUGCGGUGUGUGUGCGAGCAUUGGCGCCAUCCGCGAGAGGUUUUAAUCUGCCCGGCGGCCAAGGGCCAACCGGAUAAUGCCGUCCAAUUCCUGGACGGCAGCAGGCAGCUGCAACUAGACAGGCGGCAUUCGAGACUUCUGCGAGAGUUGCUUUCCCGGGCAGGCGAGUCAUUGGAUUUUUGUGUGAUCUCGAGCAAUAUACAAUCGAGCAGCGCCAACUCGGGUCAAUGCUUGUCUCGGCAAGAAAAGGGCUUCGUGGAGGAGGCGCGACCUGCUAAGAUAUUGCGUUGAUAGUAGUAAGUCUGACGUGACCCACUGCGUGCAAGGUGCAACUCAUGACAGUUCAUGGACCGAGACACAGAAGGAUUAUGAUAUUGGUCGCGGUAUGAUCCAUCCAUAUCCUGACGAGACCGGACAAGAUGUGCAGCCUGAUUUUCUACGACGGAACCAUAUCUGACAUGAUUUUGUUGGGGGGUGAGAAUUGGUAUUAAGUUUCUGAAAACAUGCUGCUUGUCCAAAGUCCAGACACGACGUCGCUUCUGUAUCAUUUGUUAAUUCAAGUGGCUCGAGACAGAGACCAAGCCUAGUGAGGAGAUGGAAAAGGGGAAAGAAAAUGUGCGAGAAUUCAGAGAACGCCGCAGUCACAAUGUGCGUGGACAUUGAUCCGGUCCAAUACGAUUGAAAGCAUGUGUAUUUAAAUCUCUAGACAAGAGCGCUGCAGCAGUCUCAGACCCCGUUUGGUAGGAUUUAUCUUAGCUUCGGCUUCAUCUGUUUUAUGUAAAAUGAGGCACUGAAGCGUGAAGCUAUUUUGUAAGUCGAAGUUAAAAUAAACUAGAAACUAGGUGAAACCACUAUUUUUAUCUUCGUCGGCUUUAGCUUCAUCAAUAAAGCUGUGUUGGGAGAAGCCCUCCCAAAUGAGACCUCAAAAUCGAUCAGAAACGAACGAUUACGAUCCAAGAGAGGAUGGAAGGUUAGUCGCCUACUGAUGGGAGGUUAAGUAGUACCCGCAAGGGAUGCCGGGUGAGGUGAACGUUCUGGCGACCGGUGAGAGCUGGGCGUACAAUAAACCGGAGGAAUGGUCACGGCUCAUGCUUGUGUUUUCACUGAUAAUGGUAGUUCCCCUCACCCUAAACUUUUUUUUUUUGCUUCUAUGGUGUGCGUCAGCAGGAGAUUGACAUCGAAGAUGAUUCUUUUUGGCAUAUAGUUUAUAUUCUCAUUUUUUCUUUUAUGUAUGUAUGAGAGCGAUGACACCUUCACCUUCCACCGUAAACUCAAUUAACCAUGGGUGUGUUUACAGUGUAAUUUUGCUGCUUGAUUUAUUUAAAUGGCCAAAUUAUUCAGUUGCUGGCGGUUAACUUGAUCAACGGAUUGUUGUUUAAUAAUUGGCAGGAUCCACAGUCUUGUUUUAGAAUUGGAGAUCGUCGAGUGCAGCAAAAUAAUUCACGAAGGCCAAACAAGUAUAUUUGUGCAGAGCUUUGCAUGGUUGAAUGCCCUGAUCAUGGAAGGAGAGAUUACGCAUGCAUAAAGGGUUGUAAAUGAAGCAACUCAUAUGAAGAUUUCCAUUAUGGUGUGAUUAGGAUGUGGCCGAAAUUUUUUAUUGUUGCAUUGUAAACCAACGUGUACAAGAUUAUGGUCUAGUGCGGUCACGUUGUAGAUUUAACAGGAUAGAACAUUGUAUAUAUGGUAACCGAAUUAAACUGGUCAAGUCUUAUUCAGUAUAAGCCAGAGUCUUGUCCAUAUACGUGAAGUGCCUUAUAAAUACUAGAGUCUGGGGCGCACCUCCGGCGCGCCAAUUUUCUGACCAAAUUUUCAUUAAAAGGAUUGAUGUUCAUGUAUUAGCGUCAAGAGCGUGAUAUGUCUUAAAAAAAUAAAAUUAGUGGUACUAAUCAGGCAGCUGCAUGCGCUAAUGUUUAGGUCUUUAUGUUUUGAUGUGAUGGGAGAAAUUAUGAUUUUAAUAAUGAUGAUUAAUGUCUGCAUCCGAUAGUAUAAGCAUUAACUUUGAAGGAGUUGCGUAAUUAAUUCUAUAUAUUCAUCAGUGCGGAGGUAAGAGAUUGGAAUUGGAGUCGAGCAGGAUAAUUGUAUAGUAAUCACAAUCACGUUGCCUUUGCUCAUAUGGAAAAGUAAACCAGCUACUGAAAUAAGUGAUAUAGUAACAUAGUACAUAAUUACAUAGUAGUGGUAGAGGACGAGUAUUAAAAUAAAUAAACACAUCUAACAGCAAUGCUUGUUGACUAAGUGGACAAACUGGUCAGUAAACAUCUCAAGAGUAGAUUGUGGAGGAGUAUUUCCUGUGUAUGUAAGUGUGACGGUGUUCGAAGUAGUAGUAUUGCCUGUAUUUGGAGAAAUUGCAAGAGGAAGUACGUUGCUAUAGUCGGCGGAUAGCUCUGUGAUCUUAGCGAUGAAGUUGUGAUGUUGAUUUUCUAUCUUUUUCAAGCGUUUCAUUUGAGCGACACAUGCGUCCUCAAAAAUCCAUGCUCAAGACAUAGCUGAUUCCUUCACUUUCUGUGUCUUCAAUAGGUUGGCAUGGUUGUGAUAGACCAAAGUCAAUUUCCCUUCGCUUGUGAUACUGUGAAUGGCAUCAUCAUAGGUUGAUUCUAUUGCUCCGCCUACGGUAUAUACGAAAUCGCUGUAGUAAGUUGCUUUCUUAUUAUGCGGAGGAGGUGUUCGCUGCGUUGGCAUAAUAGUAAUGGAGGCAGUGAAGAUAGAAUUACUCAUUUUUCUCACAUCUGUUCUAGAUACAUAAAGAUGUAGGUCUUGCGCAAUUUGAUCGAAAAAUAGCUUCUUUGGUAUCUAAACAGACAACAUAGUUUUGUGACAUUUAAAGUAGUUCCUUAGCUUUCAUGUUGGAGUGGUAGGGAUUUGAUGCGUUGUACAAAGGAAGAAAUGAUUUGAACAAUGGAAAAUUCAUAACUACGCUUUUGGUUGUGAUAACGCCUUCGUGUUUACUUCAUUCUUAAAGUGGUUACCAUGUGGAAAGGUCGUAGCUUGAAGAGAUGAAAGUGCUUUGCAUCUUGGAUAGCUAUUUAUAUAAGAUAGUCCUAGUUAAAAACACCUGUAGGCAAAGGUGAACAUGUAUGAAAUGUCGUGGCAGCUAAUCUUCUUGUCAUGUAUUCAUCGUGUCAUGCAAGUGCUGCGCAUGGAAGUUGUGUUUAUCUGUGUGUCUAUGACUUGUAUAUGUGUGAUAUCCUUCAAUCGACAAUGUGGUUUCCACGUAUUGGGCUAGGACUGGCCCAUUAGUUUCAAAAAUCCCAGCAGUUGGUGUAGCAAAGAAACAUGAGGUCACCAGUAGCUUCCACCGUGGGCUCCUGACUUCCUGCGUCUGCUUUCGUGUGUUUGGCUACUCACUCCGUGCAGAAUCGAACAUUGAUGGCGCUCAACAUCCUCAAAACCUAGGUCUAGAAGGGGAGCAUCGAUUCGAACAGCGCCUGAGGGGCAGGUGCGCAGCGGCGGUCAAUAAGAGAGAGGAAGUUGGUUGGUAUAUAAUAGAUAGUUAAGAGCUAUCGAAUGAUGCUUGCUGGAUUUGAUUCGACUAACUAAUCCAAAUUUUGUUUCAAAUAGAUCGGAGUAAGGAAGAUAGGGAGGAAAGGUACGUUGGUCUCUUUCGAUUCUCGCAGUAAAGUGAAUCAUUCAAUGGCACUGUGGUAGGAUUAUCGCUGGAACCCAAGUGAUUCACAGGUUAGUUCAUUAGUAUUUAGUCUCUGCAUACAAAGAUGGGAAGAGAUCUAUAUAGUUUUGCUUACUCUAUACAAACAGACAUGAAUAUUCACUGUAAAGAAAUGAAAAAACAGUUGACUAAGUAGGAAACACCAUUAUUUGAACUGAAGGGGUCAUAGGUAUAUGAAGUUCUCCCAUAGAUUAGGUGUAUAAAUAAUUGAGGAUUGUAAAUCAUGACCACACUUUUUGUGAGACUUAACGUGGUUAUAGUAGGUUGAUGUUGUCAAUAAAUUGUUGAUGUCAAAUAACAAUGCAUUCACUAUUAUGUUACUAAGUUAAAUUGAAGACAUGAUCUGAGUUGUGUCAGUAGCAUUGCAGUGUGCAGCAUAGCCGUGGUAAAGUAUAGAUCCUACAAUUAUGUACACAAUGUUAGUGUUUGUACCUGAUACUUUAUACAACUAUAUUUGUUCAUUACAACUCUAGUUUGUUCAUGCUCAAAUUGAUUAGAUUACGACUAUAAUUCAUCUUUUUUAUAUUGACCCGUGUAGAAUGGCAACAGAAGAAUUGUGCCCUAUGAAUGAUAUUGGAAAGAUAUUCCAGUGGUACGAUGAUAGGUACGGAAAGAUUAGUACCAAUAUUACUUGAAAGGUACAAUACUAUUGGUUAAUUAUCAUUAAUUGAUAAUACACUAAUAUCUAAUUUUCCGGAACUUGGGUUUUUAUAUUUCAGGAAACAAUUAAGAUUAAUGGAGAGUUAGUAGUGCGAGAGUUAGGCCGCCUGCUAAACAGCACACAACUAUGUUUUAGCCAUACUUGCAUAGAGAGCAAUAAUUGGCAAAUAAGUCUUUCUUUUCAGUUUCCAAGAAAUGGCAACAUGUUCGAGAAUAUGAUAGAUGUGUUUAUCUGCAGUGAUUUACAUGAUAAUAUUGAGGAUGCGAAAGCAUCUUUGUAUAACAAAGUAGUGGAGCAUUUGGUGCAAAUUCACAGAAUUGGUAUUGCCGAUUAUAGCAGUAGAGAAAGAGACACCAUCUAUGCAGAAUGGGAAUCAAUGCACGAGAAGAUGUGUCAAUGAUUCUAUAUUAACUCUGAUAUUCUAUUUGGUUGGGAAGCUGGAUUGAUUGAAGCAGAAAGACUGUAUCAGGUAUAUGGUUAUAGUUUGAUCGAUUCUGAUCUCAGUGGUAUUGAAAAUACACCAACGAAGGUACGAACUUGGUUUAUAAAUGUACUCAGAGAUAGAGUAUUGAUAUUUAAAGAUGAUGUAGUUGAAAGCAAAGCCAGGCUAAAGAGUUUGAACGAGCAGAGAGACAUCUAUGUAAGCACGGUUAAUGUCAAUAUGCGUGAAGCUAUAAAGGUAUGAGUUGUGACCACAAUCAUUUCUUGCAUGUUCUUCUUAAAAUGAUUGUAGCAUGAUCAAUCUAAAGAUAGAUUUUAUCAUUGUACUUAUUGUUGCUAAUAUAUGUACAAGUGGAGGAGGAUUGUUUCUGUUUCAAAUAAAUUCAUCUUCGAUAAUAUAAUUGAUAGAUCUCAAAAUGAAAAGGCAGAUGUGGAGAUAAUACAAAUGGGAAAUCAUGCGUUUGCUGGUGAGAUGGUACUGCAUGUAGUAGAACAUGACAACAGCAAAGAAGAUGUUCUAUGCAAGAGAAUGUUGGAAACUUAAACGAACCGGAUUUCUGUAAGGAGAAAUCUGACUCCCUGUAUCCUCGUGAUAAUCCCUGGAUCAGUAACUAUCACAUACAGAACUCAUUUCAGCAUAAAUAUCACAUCCAUACCAAUAACAGUACAAUUAAAUUUAUUACAUCCUAGAAUGUGAGAGUACGAUCUGGUACAUGCCCCUUGGGCUUAACGACAUGAAUAAAACCAACGCAACAGUAGCUAGCUUCUGGAAGCAUUCCUAUCUUCACAAUCAACUCCACAGACAUUCUUGAUCGUAGCACUGCAACCCUCAUCGUACCAACUGUCGUGGUUGAUGUCGAAGUCGGACUCAUAACCUGCAAACUCACGAGCUGUCCCCAAGGAUUGGGACAGGUUCACGUCACCAUCCGUAUGCAAGCUUUAAGUGGCCUAGUGCUUGUGAUCAAAAAUAUAUUCAAGGAAUAGGCUCGGGUUUCCUAUGCAGCAAGCAUAAAGAAUAAAACUCCAUAUCCAUCAUCCCAAUCUCUCAACACAUCGGGUACACCCGUCUUGACAGGUUCCCUAUCACCAUCAUCCUAUCUCCAUACUAGGGUCAAGGCAAAGACUCCCUCUUUUUGCCUCUCAACAACUGUAGCCGGAUCCUAAAGGGAAAGGGAGCAACUUCCCCUCUUCCCGACUGCAAUUGCGGCUCACAACACACAAGUAGCUAUAAGGGGGAGGUAGAGAUUUCCCAAAAAUAAUGGAGAGUCAUCGCGACACAGGGUUGUCCAUGACUGAGGACACAGCUAUACUUAUAGUUUUAACUCUGCAGAAUGUGUACACCUGGACCCAUCUUGGAGUGAGACAACCGGGGAUCAGCCGACUAAACAUCACCCUACCGGGCGAAGAACCUGGGAGUUACGAUACCAUCCUACAUCCAGGCUCGGAUGCGAUCCCCCACAGAGGACCACUCCAGAACUAUGAAGCACUCCCACCGGGGCCAAUCGGGGGCAAAAGGUCAGCACCACUCCCCCCUACACUGAUACUCUAUCUUACGGCAGGUAUGGUACCGCACUUGCUAGUCUCAACCCGGGCCUAGACCCAUAAUUCAACGAGUGGCGUGCACGUUUAACAUAUUCCCGUGAAGCAUGGCGACCCACUUGGUUUCAGACCGGGGCGAGCUCCUAACUCCCAAAAGUGUCUCCACAACGUAGUCCGCAACGGCACCCAUAACAGGUAUCACCACCAACUCCUAUGCUCCUCAACUUUAUACUCACAACAAGUACCAAACAGGGAACAUCCGAGAACGGACCCCAAGCCCCCAAUCCAUAGAUUGGGUUGUGUAAAGCUCACCCCCGUCAAGUAUCCCAAAAUCACCUUCUCCUGCCGGUUUUAACCCCACACACGCCAAGAAUCCUAAUCACAAUAUCCCAUACACAUGCAAGCAUCGCACACCAUGCAUAUAAGUAGCAUAGUAGUAGGUCAAACAAGGAUAUAAGGCAUAAAGAAGGCUAUGCAAGCUUUAUCAUCAUCAUGCGAGGAAUAAAGCGCUAGCAUACUAAUUUAGCAAUGCCUAAUGGGUAUUCAAAUAGAAUGGGCAUGAACCUGAGUAGUCUUCCUCCUCAUAGUAGUCCUCAAAUGGCUCUAGCUCUGGGUUCAGCUCCGAGUCUCCGGCAACUCCUAAUUACACAAUUACUAUAAUUACCGGAUGUCUAGUUGCAAAGUAAAUCCAAAAGAGAUCCAAAGAAGAACCAAACAAGAUCAAAGCGUAGUCUAACACGUGUUUCAAUAUUUUACAGAAAUUAUGAAACUGGUUUCAUAAUUUUUGGAAUUAGAAUGACUUAGUUAUGACUCUUUGAAGUUGAAAACAUUUUCUGAAGUUUUUGUAUGAUAGGCAAAAACAAGAAAUCAACGGGGUUAGCUGUUAACUGGUUGUAGGUCAGCUGCAGUCCAGAUGCAAGCUGCCACAAAAGUUCGCAGGUAGCUUUGGAGGGUUUUUAGGCCGGUGGCUAAGCUGUCGUGAGGUGUUUCUAGUUUCUGGGGUAAAAACCGGAAGUUUCAACUUUGGAAAACCGGAAGUUCUGAUUUGGGGUAACUGGAUGUUCCGAUUUUUAGCUCACUCAAGGAGGUCUCCCGGGAAGAACUCUAGAUGCUCUGGAUAGAUCAAAACUGAAUGUUCUCGUUUGGGAACUGGAAGUUCCGGUUUUCUACGAGUAGAUCUCUCCCCUUGGGGAGAUCUCCUGGGAAAGACCUUGGGAUAGUCCUGGGAAGUUAGGGUUCACCAUUCAUGGGUUUGGGGUUCGUUUGGCUGAGACUUUCUAAGGUUUUUGGAGCUACUGCAGGCUGAACAGAGCAGAACUGGAAGUUCCAAUUUUGCCAAGGGUUCGGCCGUGAUGGGCUUUGCGCGCGUGGGAGCGCGCGGCUCAGGCCUCAGCUGCGAUGAAGGUUCAUGCAGGCAAGCGGAAAUCGUGGUGCUCACCUGGUGGGCUUGCUAGUGAGGGAAAGAUGGCGCGUGGUGAGGUGAAGCAGUGAUGGCGGCGCGGGCUUGGCGGCUCUCCGGUGGGGCAACAGCGGUCUCCUCCUCCUCCGACGUCUUCUCCCCGUCUCCUGUGCCCCCCCUCCUUCCUCCUCCUUUUCUCCAAACGGCGACGGGUGAAGGAGAAAACCUCAAUUGUGGAUGAGGCCAGGUGUAGAUGGUGUGGGGGUUCAAAAAGGUGGUGGCUAGGGUUUUGGGCGGUUUGGACGGUAGGGGAUUGUGUCUAGAUGGCGUGGUAAGCAUCCACGGGCGCCAGCGCAAAAGUGGCAAGGGCGGCCGGCAUCGUGCAUGGCGUGCACGUCGCUGUCGUGCUCGUGCCACGCGCGUGCACACCGUGGGGAGGAAAGGGGAAUAGUGGUACGGGUGGCUAACAUGUGGGGUCGAGCAGUCAGCGACUGCAGCGCGGAGGCGGUCUGGGCAGAAAACCGGAGGUUCCAGUUUUGGAAAAUUAGAAGUUCCGGUUUUUGCACCGGCCUUAGGUUGGGUUGUUAAUUAGGUGGGCUGGUGGGGUUAGCUGGGUUGGUUUGGGCCUCGGUUAGAUUUAGUUAGCUUUUCUAGUUUGAUUUAUAUUUGAAUUCCAAUUCAAAUACAAAUCCCACCCAAAAAAUCCAAAUAAAUUCCAAAUGAACUCCAAAUAUUCACACUAGCACAUAAUGCACCUUAGCGAUUCAAUUUAGUUUACAAUAUAAUUCUAAGAAUUUUGGGAAAGGUUCAAUGACGACAAUCUUAUAGUUUGGAAAAAUUCACACCACAUCACAAAAUUUUUGAAAUCCACAUUUUUGCAAAUUCAAACAUGUCGUAAAAAUACGAGAUGUUACAGAAACUGAAAAGAAAUACGACUUUGCAAGUGCAGAAGAAGAUGUGUAUAAAGAAGGCAUUGCAUCCAUUGAAAAUGUGAGGAAUGGUGUUUAUUUUUGACAUAAUUAUCGAUCAAUGGCUAUUGCUAUGGAGGACAAAAUAAAUGGAAACAAAUUGAAAAACAAAAUGGUGGAAUUUGGGUCCAAGAUGAGUUCGAAGUGGAACUCCAUGGUUGCAGCAAUACAAUACAUCCAUACAGUUUGGAGUGAAGCUCAUAAUGAAGUGGCCCAAUCUCGAAACAUCAUAGAUAAACAUGAAAUGACAUCAGAAAUAGUUAACAAUGUUGCUAAUCUACUCACAAGGAGCUCAUAUGGAUUAGAACCUAAUAUGCGUAGAUUUGAAGCAGCAUCUAUUUGAGUAGCUUGUAAGAGUGAAUCUGUAUGUAUAAAACAUUGUAGGCGUACUUGGUGUAAGUUAAGUUUUGCAAUUGUACGCUCAUCCAAGCAUCAUUCAUUUUGUUGUGGUAAAGAAUUAGUUGUACUGAAUUAUAUUUGCAAGAUAUAUAUUUACUUAUAAGUUAUAGUGCAUUAUAUACUAACAAUAAUCAACUGUUCGCCUCAUGACGUGAUGUCUGGAAUGACACCAAUCUACAAAUUUAUGCAUGUAUCACCUCUUUGCGAUGAAACCUUCACAAAUUUGAUGUACGUCAGUAUGUGAAGUAACCGAAAGAAAAUAGAGGAUAGCUGAAGUCGUAAAACAAGGCCACCUGGUGAUACAUGGCUUUAUUUGAUCAGCUGGUAAGCUGCGUCAUGUCAAGGUGCUCUUAAGAGUGAAUGUAGAUAUAACUAGGACCCUCUUCUUUACUUUCAGAAUAAGGUAGCCCUGGUUCUCCAGUUUGGCUAACUCUACUGUUUACUAGGUUUGGCAUCACGAACAAGACUGACUGCUCGGAGCCUCGGAACAACAUAUCUAAAAGUUACUCGAUGGCGCUUGUAUCUUCCAUGAUUAGUUCCAAGAUGUAUGUAAGUAUCUAAUGAGUAUGAGUACUACAAUUUGCAGUAAAUAUGUUUUAGUACUUUCUCUACGCAGUUUCAGCACGGUGCAAGUGUUUCAUUUUGCAUAUAGUAUUUACGAAUGAGGUGAUGAAGUUUUUUCUUUAUACUGAUCAUUGCAGAUCAACGCAAGUAAAGUGGUAGUCAUUCGUCCUCGUGUCAUUUUAUGCAAAGCAGUCAACGGAUUGAACGGAUUUGACCCUGUAUUUACAAACACGUCUACAUGCCUAGAUAAAUUCAAGUACUCCAUUUCAUUUGAUCUUCCAACCUCUGCAGAAACAAAUUAACUGGUGGCAAUCUAUUCUUUAAUAGACACGAUGUUGAAGAUAGCGCUGUUCAAAAUGUUUUUAUGAAAUUGUAUGAAGAAUAUGGAUAUAUAGUAGAGGACUAUAGUUCUAUCCAAGGCAACAUAUGUAGGCUGAGAUACCAUGAUUUCAUUCAUAAGGUAAAUGAAAGCAAGGCUAGAUAUCAGGAAAUCAAGGAUAACUAUUUGAAUGUAAUGGGACAACUUAGAAUAGUGUCCGAUAUGUUCGGCACUGUAGCAUGCAGUUUGGAUCAAUCCAAAGUAAAUCAAAAAUAUAGAGAUGCACUCAUAUCUUGUUCUAAAGAGUUUCAAAGAAUCCGUCAUGCUGGUCUGAAGCAUAUGGAUGGAUUCAACACGCGUGUGUUCCUGAAUUGCGAUGCAGAAAAUUCAUCAUUUUCAACUCGUGAUGUAGAAAAUUCAUCAUCCAACGCAAUUAGUGGUGUCAAACAGGUAUCCAUUAUACUGGGUAUUCCUUUUAUAAUUACGAAUGGUGUGGUAAUAUAAUAGGAAGUUGUUUUACAAUGUACCAUUUGAUUAUUAGUGUAAUGCAAGUAUUCUUCGAUAAAGGUUCACAGAACUGAGGUUAAACAUGCUCUUGGGUGAAGUUGUGAAAGUAAUGGGAUUUGAUAAGCCUAACAUCACAGUAGAUGGGAGCCAACAAUCAUAUAACUACGUGGCAACCGUGAUCAUAAAAAAAAGGUGCAAAUGAAGCAGUGGUGAAAGGAAUUGGGGUAAAUACUUUAUGCAGAGAUUCCCAAUACAAUGCUACCUACAAUGCAUUACUUGUAUUAGAAACGGAAUUCCAUGUGGUCAUAAAGGACGUGAACUAUAGCUAUUAUUUGAUGAUGUUUGGUCGUGUGAAGGAUAUGGAAAAUAUCUUGACCUUAAUUGCUAUUAUCUGCAACGAUGUUGAUGGGGAUCUUUGUCAGAUAGGUUCUCUAGUUAGCAUGAAUGAAUGUAGUAAUAACAUGCUUGUUAAUCAUAGUGAAUUUGGUAGUAUCUGUACUCAGUGGUUUUAGACAGUGAAAACAGCAUUGGAGAGAAAUCAGGAAAUCAUGAGAGCAAAGGUUGCUCUAGUCAUGGAAAAUGCUCGUAUUGGAACUAUCCGGUUUUGACAAGUGACGGUAUCUGAUGAAAGCAGCAUUCUUUACAAUCAUACAUGGUUUGAAAUUAUAUACAUAGUUUGGAUACUGUAAUAAAUCCGAGUAUACUUAAGCCCAAUCGUGUAAUAAAAAUGUGGGCAUCAUGUGUUGUUCGAUUUUGUUUUACAUUGUUUCAUGUUGAUUAAUUCUGUGUGGUAUAUGAAUUAAUUAGUUGUUAUGAUUCGUCAAUUGUUAAUAUGUGUUGUACCACUAUGUAGGCCAUAGGAGUGAAUGAAUGUUAUUUAUCCAUUUACUUUACAAAGAUGCUACAUAUAUUACAAAACCAUAAAUUAAGAUGCGAAUGCAAUAAUAAAAUUCAGGGUCGCAAUCUCAUUAGCUGUAGCAUAGAAGAUCUAAUUUUCUCUGAGCUUAGGUAGCUGACGGGCCACAUAAUUAUUGUGCCUGUUUUAGACACUAUCUAGUUGAAUACUAAAGUGAUUUAGAUUUGGAUCCAGCAAAAUCGCAAUUCUGUACCCAAUAAGAUACAAUGCCACGUUCCUCAACGGUGCAAAACUACCUGUGAAUAGAAAUCGUCUUUUCCUUCGGCCUAAUUGAGGUGGUACUUAGUUUUACGGGCCAAGAAGCUAUCCAAUCCAAGAGACAUAUACUCGUAACAAAUUUCAAAAUUAUAUAAUUGUUUACACUUAAGUAAAUACGCAUGGAAUCUAAGUAUCCCUUCUUGUACAUAUUUUUAUUAAACAUUAUUAAUCUCUUUGUUUCUAUGUACUGCAUUCCUUUUUUAUGAAAAUACUGAAAUAUCCUACUUAAGCGGGGAUUGUACAAGAUGGCUUCACAAUCAUACGAGUAAAUGAAUAAUUUUUUUAUAUAUCACGACAUUACUCUUAACGCCAGGUCUAAUUUACUGCAGUAAAACUUGGCUGAUUCACCUGUUAUUUACCGCAUGUCGUAAUACGAGUGAAACACCAUCCUAAGGUGACACGCAAUGCGUGGUGACAUACGUGUCAUUUUUUUAGAAUCGAAUUAGAUGUGCAUGGCUAGACGCAUGUCGUCCUAUACUGUGAACAAAUAAAUAUAUAGCGUUCCCGAUCCAGCACCGCUAAAAGAAAUUGCAUGCAAGGGAAAAGAUAAACUUGGUAGAAAAUGGAGAGUUCAAGGAAAGCAGAGUUGAAGUUGCUUUUGCUUAGUGUCCAGCAUGAUGCCUCCACCGCACCAGGUAUCAACGCUCCUCGUGUCUCAUUGUCAAUUACGAAUCACGUGUUGUGCAUAUUUUUACUGAAAAAUGUACUAUGCAUGCCAAAAAUAUUUUCCAAUUCUUUAGUUAGUAGUAGGAAAAAAAUCAGAAUCCAUUAUUGCUUUAGAUUCAUGUGCAGGUAGUUGCGUCUUUUUUGGUUGACUAUUUAAUUCGAUUGUCAAUGUUGAUUGAGUUAUCUAUGAUUGAAUUGAUGAGCGGUUGAUUAUUUAAUUCCAUUAUCAACACUGAUUGAGUUAUCUAUGCUUGAAUAGGUGACUGCAAACGGUGGAACACGUAUCUACUGCUUUUUUUUUACGUGAAUCUAUAUAAAUGAGGUUUAAAUAGAUGUUCCAUGUCAUGUAGGCUACUCGAGUUGUAAAGAUUAGUCAUUAACUUUUACUUCGUGAGCUUUGCAAGGAGCUGAAACUGGAUGCUCCAAGUUUUGGAACUGAGUCCUCUAGUGGUACCAGUGUUGUUGGUAGGGUUUAGAUUACGUAUCACAGGUCUGAUGAAGAAACCGUAUUAUGGCGCUACAAAGUUACUGGCUCGGUAGAACCGGAUGCAUCUGCUGCUCUAGAAGUUGUUGCUACAAAAGCAAUUGAAUUUUUAAAGAGUAGAAUUAGCAACGACGUAGAAGAUUUUAACUAUCCAAGAUUCUAGUCUCUGCUUUUUACCCAUGUGUGCCUAAAGGAAAAUGGUGCCUACAGGUACAUCCCAUCACCCCCGCUUUUUUUCGGAAACCAUGCGCACGAUCCCGUUCUAACCGCAGGGAACGCCGCGCCUCCUCACCCCACGCGCCCGGCAUUAUCUGUCGCUUUGCCUCCCGGAGGUCAUGCGCACAAACGUCUCCCACAAGUGGCCCAAGGCGCGCUUCAGGUAAAAAGGGAUACAGAGCUGAAAACGCUCUUACGGCCCAUUACGGUCCAGGGGUUCGAAGGCUAGCCCUCCCAAGGGUUCGACAGCUGCCCCAGGACAGUUCCCGAGCAAGGGGUGAGACAGGACAGGUCCGCUAGUGGCCUCUACCCUGGCGAACGAAAGCCAAGGGCAUCCUGACCUCACGUUCGAGUCCCGACUGGCGAUUAAGUUCAUGGUUUUUCCCCGAAGAAAGGCAACGAGCCCUCGGAUCCGGUCGAACGGAUCCGGGAACUAUAUGAAUUGGCCGUCCAGAACCAGGAAUACGCCACCAGCUUGGCCCAAGCCGGACCCUCCCCCCCUAACGGGGACCGGAACUCCACUCGAACUGAUCCGUUAGCAGCUCACCGAGCACCAUGGUUCGUCCGACGAGGAUAACAUGGCACGGCUCAACCCCUCCGUCCAACCGAACGGAUGCUUGAGGGGCAACGAUUAAAAGAUGAUCCGACCUCUCGGUCGGUCUCCUGCAGCGCACGGGGGCUCAAGGGCUGGAAUCGCAAAGAAACGGCCACGCGUGUGGUCAUGUUCAGUCAUCAGGCAGGAGUGAUAAGCGGGACAAUGGGAAUCUUCCCAAAACUGCACCAUCCUCAGAGCACCCUGCCUGCCCGAAACUCCCCGAUCAGGCCAACGGCGAAACGUUUUCCCUGACCAAACCCAGCUACGGGUUAGACAAAGACUCCAGACAAACACUCUGCCCAGAGCCAAUCAUAGCCUCUGGAGGAGCACCUCACUCCACCAGAGGCUCGGGGGCUACUAUCGGGGAGAAAUAUUAAUGACCUCCUUAUGCUCCCUAAUCAACGAUCGUAAGGGCCAGGGCCCACCCCCAGCAUCCGUAAUCUCCACCGACCAAACACACCCUGGAGGUACCUCGCUCCGCCUCGCCCGACCCCGAACGCAAGGGGUCGGAUGCGCCCGACCCCUCGAAGCAAGACUCCGCCUCACCCAACCCAAGGCGCAAGGGGUUGGAUGCGCCUGACCCCUCGAAACAAGAUUCCGCCUUGCCCGACCCCGGGUGCAAGGGGUUGGACGCACCCGAUCCCUCGAAGCAAGACUCCACCUCGCCCGACCCCAGCGCAAGGGAACGGAUGCACCCGAUCCCUCGAAGCAAGAAUCCACCUCGCCCGAAGGCAUGUGCAGGCCAUCAAACGGAGGCACAGGUCUUGUGGGUCCCCCGGAUCUCACCAAAACAUAAUCGAUGGGACGCGCACGCUCUAGGAUACGAUUCUGACACAUGGAGAGGUGCCCGCAUUCUUCGACAUGACCUGUCGGAAUGAUGGGCUGCACACUGCUGCCACGAUAGCAUAGGACUACAACUGCACCGCCUUAUCCCUCUGCGACGCCUGUCAUAGGGCACUCAUCGCCCAUACUGUCUAAACGAAGGAGGGCAAACCGCCUGGUUUCCUGCGCAGCCUCGCAAGAAGUGCACAUCAACCGCACCGCCCUGUCAGAACACAUGACUAUAGUGGCCGGCCGCUUCCUGCCACUUACACGGCUAUAGUGGCCGGUCGUCACCACCAACUUGCGCGGCUAUAGUGGUCAGCCACCAUAUGUGACUCGCGUGCUCGGCUACAGUAGCCAACCGCCAAAUCAUCGAUGGGACCCAACAGCAACCGCCCUUUCCUAGUAGCAGUACCGACAAGACGCAGAGACAAGAAAGGAAGACGGCUUCUCCGGUAGCUCCUCCCGCUUUCUUGUUUUACCUUUUUACCUUUCUUACUCCCGGCUCAUUUUGUAACCCCUGUGUCCUCCUUACACUAUAAAAGGGGACCAGGGGCCCGAGGGAAAAGGAGAGGCCCGAACAACAGAACAACACCGAACGCACACAACAGCUCUCGUAGAAUCCUAGUGCUCAAGACACUUUGAGCAUUGGCAACACCCACAGAGACCUAGGAACCAGCUUCCCUCUCUCACCCGUUUGUAGACCCUACUGCAAACUUGGUACGAGUAACACGAGCAGCCACCCACACUGGAUAUAGGGCUAUUCCUGCUUGAACCAGUCUAAUCCACGUGUCCUCCCGUACAACCAUCCGAGCCUAACGCGUAGAGAAAACAAAUUUACUAAGCUGGUAGUCUCGACCCGUGAUUCUUGACACCAACAGCAGUAGCUAGAACCUGUAAAAGUAGUGCUUGACUUCAUGUAGUGGAGUCAGAACGCUGUUAUAUUACGUAGUGUGUGUGAAUCAAAUGUGGAUCGCUUAGUAAAAAGUACUUGCAAUAUAUAAAGCAUGCAAAUCACUAUCUAAGUUCGAUCAUUUGCAAAACAGUGUAAAAUAGAGUAGUAGAGCAACGCUGGAGCACUGUAAGAAGCAGUUUGUAAUUUUAAUACCUUUUCUAUUAUAUAUAUGUAUAUAAGUAACAUUAUCUAGCAUUUUUUUAAAUAGCGAUGAAUCAUCAUUCAAUUGUUUGCUACAUUGCUCUAUUUUCCAAUGAUGAAGCCUAAGACCUAAUUGCAAAAUUAAGCAUGAAUUCAAGUGUAAUUCGGGGACUUGAGCAUGCAAGUAAGCACAUUAAGAUCUAAUCUGGAAACAUUAAUAUAAAUAAUCAAGAAAUUAGACUUAUAGCCGAAUUUAAGCAUAAACCCCAAAUAAUUUAGAGCUAAUAGCACUUGAAAUUGCACUUGUUCAUUCCAGUGUCUUUGAUUUCUAAUAUACAUUGUUUAUAUUGUACCAGUCGUACCUCAAAUCAGAAACACGCUAAUUCCUGAAAUCUAAGCAUGCCAUUUCUCACUAAUUGUACUAUGGUACUAUUGCUCAUUGUGAUAGGUAGAAGCUUUUGAAGGAUCAUGGCCAGCGAAGAAGGUCGCGUGGAUUAGUCGAAGGAUUUUAUUUAAUGAAGUGUGCACCAGUUUGAAUAUCUAUUCACCUUUAUACAUUCAAGAUUAGCUUCUGGUGGCAUGUACUUUGGAUUAGUUGUCAUCUACAUUUCCAAUACUGGAAACCCCGAUGGAAUACGAUCUUGCAGAUUGACCUCCCGAGCCUGAAAAAACCUAGGAAGAAGCGCUAGAAGCUGCAGCUGUUCUAGAUAUUAAACCCAUAAAGCGUGAGCUUAACAUUGAAAUUGAUGAUCUGAGCUAUGAAGCAAAAGAAAUUCUUGAAGAAAGGCAAAAAGUUUUCAAAACUCAGAUGUCAAGACUUGAUGCAACAUCAGCUGAACUGAUAAAGCAGGGAAGGUCAGCAAGAAACAUAUGGGCAACUACGCUCAAAGACAUGAAAGGUGUAGCUAAUAUGUGUGCCAAUGGUUCCAUUGUGCAUCAAGGAGCAGACGAGAACGUUCCACUACACUCUGAUGUUGUGGAUGGCGGUAUUGAUCCAAAUCACAUCAAAAUCAUCCUUAAGCAGUGUGCAGAUGCUAUAAUUGAAGCACAUGGUUGUCUCGAAGCUGACUACAAUAAUAAUGGGUAUGUAAAGAGGAGUGACUUAGAUUUUAUUUCGAUACUACAUUGAUUAAUUCAAUGGAAUGAUACGUUAAAAUAAUUGCAGAUGGCCCCAGUAAUGGGAAGGAAACAAGGAGUGAUACACUGAAGAUGCAUACUCUAUGAACACCAAUGAAGUUCUGUCAUAUAAAUAUGAAGUUAGUUUAAAUCGUCAUCGUUGUAUCUGCAAGUACACUACAUCCGGUCUCAAAUAGUCUAUGUAGUUUGGAAGUCUAUGUAUUCUAAAUAAUGUAAACUCCGCAGUGGAGUAGCUAGUUUGUUAUGUCUAUAUAUUAUACAAUGCGUGUUGUGUGCACACCUUAGUAUUACUGCAUCAGAUGCUACUGUAAAUUUGAAUAAAUUAGUUUGCAUAUCCUUGUGCCUGCGCAGAUUUUAUACGAUUUUAUUAUUUAUUAAUCAAAAUUAUUAGCACAACCAAUUUAAAUAUAAUGUGAUUAUAAUUUAGAUUAUUGACGUAAGUAUAAUUAAAUUAGAAACCUGUACAGAAAAGUGUGCACACAAAAGUUCAAAGGAUGUGUAGAGUGUGAGAGUCAAAGUUUGGUAAUACAAACUUGGAACGUUAAUUAUUAAUUCAAAAUAAUUGUCCAAAAUUUGCAUUUAAUACACAUUCAUCGACUAAGAAAUGAACACUACAGUCUCAUUUGUGAUUUAAUCAGCAUCUUCAUCUAUCUGCGAAUUAAAGCCAUGAUUCUAAAUACUAAUCCAGGUGGGUCCUCAGCUGAUGCGCCAUCCAGAUUGUUCACACUCAUUAAUCCUAAAUGACACACUGCAGCAGCGCACCGCAAGACAGUAUCGUUAGAAUUGGAAAAAAUAGAGAGAGAGCAACUUAAAUCUAUGAAACAACAUUUCUAUUCUGCACAGAAACUCCAAUGAAUCGGAUCUGGUUACACACAAUGAAACAAGGUCAACAAAAAAUUGGAGUUAUCGAACCCUAUGUUCAGCAUUUUUAGCUCUACAAUUACUGUCAAUCCUGAUGUCGCAAACCAUGUGAAAACCCCUCCAGCAUAGUACAUGAUAUUCUUCUUGAAAAUUCCAACAAUCUGAGUUACCAUCAACUUGAAAAUGGAAGAUGAAGUCUAAAAACGUAGUAGUGAUGUUCCUGUUCGAAUAUGUCAAUACACCCUUAUAAGGUACUCGAAAAAAAAGAGGAAAGUAGGAUAUGGAUUGGCAGCGAACGGCAUACUGUUCGUAUAAGUAACUUAAAGUUGAAACAUAUAUUUUCUAAGAAAAACCGAAUCAAUUCAGAAAUACAUCACAGAUAAAGCGUGGAUUUCACAAAGACAUCAACUACGAAAUAACUACUAAGAUCCACUAAAGGGAUAGAUCCCAUUCCCUUUCCAUUCAAGCUAAUACUUUCUUCUUCAUGUGGACAUGAUUCCUUCUCCCCGCGAUUUGCAAAAGUAUAUGAAGAUGCAGACUUCCUAUGCCGCCUCCGGUAGAUUGAAAUAAAAACGCAUAUUCUUUAGAUUUUAAUUAUCUAAUUCCACACUUUGCUCAUCUUCAAUUUCACCAAAAGCUGCUUAAUACGAGUAAUGUAAAAGUUAAACAAAGAAAUGAAGUUCAAGCAAGUAAAGGAAACGUAGCUCAUGGUAACUUAUCAAACAAUUCAAAUGAAAUACUCUUGAUUUUACUAAAAAGACAUAGAAGCUAGAGGACAAUUAUGCAAACCUAUAUAAGCAUCUAAACUAAAACUUCUAGUGCAGUAAAAAAAUAGAGAAUAGAAUCGAAAGCUGAAUCUUUGUAGAUCGGUAAUGGUGAUACCAUAAAGUGAAUUGGAGUAACUAAAGCGCACACAGCUCAUGAUAACCUACAAAACAAUCCAAAGUCAGUACUUUUGGUCCUACUUCAAAGGUGCAGAACCCAAAGCACAACUAUGCGAACCUAUGUAAGCAUUUAGAUCCAAACUGCCGGUACAAUAAACAAACUAAAAGAUAAAACUAGAGGCCGAAUCAUUACAUACCAUUAGUGGUGCCACCGUGAAGUGGAGUAUCCGUAGGGAGUAUAGUACCAUCACUAUUAAGUACACCAAGUGAGAAAAUUUUUGUCACUUUAGGCCUUGGUGUCGAGUGACCACUUUCUUUAAAUCCAGGGUAUUCGUCAUCAGAAUCACUCAUAGUUGGAUCUGGUAAGUAAUCACCAUCAUCCGACGAGUCUGAUGAAUCAUGCCAAUCAUGAACCUCAAGAACCUUAAUAGCAACUCAAUAUCGCAGCCCACGUUGUUCAUGCUGUAUAAUGUCCUCUGGUCGCAAAUAUAAAUCUGCACCAGCAUUCGGAUCAUCUAGCUCUGGUAUAAAAAUAUCAACCUCGUUAGGCAAUUUGUCAGGAUCAACACACUAGAUACACCUCUAAAAAUCGUCAAGUCAGCUUUUGACAAUGUGCCUAGAGUUGGCUUGAAACCACUGCAUGAUCCACCAAGAAUGCGCUCCACAACGGGUAAAGACCGAGCAUGUGAUGGAAUCCCCUUCAACUCUAAAAGUGUUCGUUAUAGCAAACAGAUUGAUGGCUCCAACAUUUGAAUUUGAAUACCAAGUCUACUACUGCCAAAGGAGGUGCAUGGAGGACACGCUCUAAUUUCUGAUGCUCAGAAAAUAUAAUCAAGAAAUUUUGGUCAUAGUAAAGAUGCAGAGUGUAGUCAUUCUCUGUGAGUGCAUACCUCUCCUGGAGAAGUGUAUGUACUUCGGCAACUGUAAAUGAUGAAUAGUCUCCAAUAGCAAUGAUAAUAAGAGCAUUUUGCAGCAAUUGCUCCUCUGCAACAAUAUGUGGCAUUCUAGGAACAACACAAACUUCCAAUGCUAGACAUCAUGAUGGAUGUCCCCUUAGAAGAGGUUAUGGAGACGGUGACUUCUCCCAAGAGUGCUGAGAAAGAAAUCCCUUGUCAUCUAAUUAUGCUCUUGUCGAUGCACCAACCGAAGAUAACGUCUCAGGGUGUGUAGUAUCAGAGGGUAAAGUCCGCUGAACAACUACUUUUGAUUCCAUCAAGCUUAACCUAUAAAUAAUAUCGUCUAGAGGCCAUGUUGGAACCUUCAUCUCCAAAAGCGCAAUGGUCCUCUUCAUUGCAUCGAUCUCCUCCCGCUGCCUUGAACACAUCUCUCUAAGGAGGUUUACCUCACCCCUAUCACCGAUUACUUCAUUAUGUGUCAUAGUUUUACACCAAUUAUUGAAGACCAACAAAUGUACAACCGAAUCAGUUGCACCCAACACAUGAACUGAGGCUACAAAUAAGAGCAUAAAAAAUAAGAACAUAAUAUCAGAGAAGGAACCAAUGAACUAAAACUAAAAUAGAUCUACCCACAUAAACAAGGGAGAACGAUCUGACACAAUGCAUUAGACAAAGCAGUAACCACAAUGGCACCAAAUGAAAUAAGAUAAAGCAUCGCGGUAAUGCAACAUUCAGGGCAAACCAACAAGAAGGCAACAUGGAAACACAAUAUCGACAGAAGAAAAUAAAGAAGAUAGGAUUUCGAUCGCAUACAUCGCUUAUCACCCACCAAGAAGGUAUGGAAGAAGAGCGGAACCGGUGACCAAGCUUCCACCGAUGGGACGAUUUGCAAACCGCGAAAGAAGCUUGGUCAAAGACGUGGCGGUAGCGUUGAAAAUCAGCGGUGGAGAAAGGAAGGAGCGAGACGAUAAUGGAGACGAAUAAACAAAGAAAGGGGAACGGUGUCUCGGAAUGCCCCUACUAUUGAUGUGAUGGGGGACUCUUUAGAAAAUUAUCUGCCGAAAUAGUGCCUCCACCAAAGGAGAGUGGCAACAGUUCUUCAAAGAAGAAGGGAGCCGAUGCCUUGCGGAAAUGGCGCAUCAAAGCCGGUAAGGCUAUGUUCAUGCUUAAGACAACUAUUGUGGAGGACCUACUGGAGCACAUCUGAGAUGCGGAGACCCCAAAGGAAGCUUGGGAGACUCUGGGGAAAUUAUUCUCCAAGAAGAAUGAAGCACACCUCCAGCUUCUAAGAAAGAGCUUGCGGGUAUCUUACAAGGCACUAUGAGCAUUAAUAACUACUUUACUAAGGUGAAGAAUAUAUGUCAGGAGAUAUCUCAGCUUGACCUGGAGGAGAAGGUCAGCGAAGCUCGGAUGAGAAGGAUCAUCAUCAACGGCCUAAGACCCGAGUACAGUGGGUUUAUGGCUGUAGUGAGUGGAUGGCCAGUACAGCCAUCCUUGGUGGAGUUGGAGAACUUAUUAGCUAAUCAGGAGGCAUUAGCUAAGCAGAUGUGCAACAUCACUUUGGAAGAGAAGGAUGAAGAGGAGGCGCUCUUCAUCAGAAAGAAGGGUUCACCAAGAGGCCGAGGAGAGGCGAAGGAGUGGACAAGAGGUGAUAGGAGUUGCCCAAAGAAGAGCAGCUAUUCAGGGGGAGCUCAAUGUAACAACCAGACUGUUAAAGGCUUAAGAAUGAUUCUUAAAGUGUUAAAGGUGAAAUUGGGAUGAAAAUAAGAUAUUGGGGCCAAAGUCAAGUUUGGGUCAAAUUUCACCAAAAAUACAAAUUAAGAUUCAAAACCAAAGAAAUUCGACAAAAAUAUGAAGUCAAGCCUUGAAGGUAUUUAGAAUUCAAAGGAAUCAAAUUGGAAGUAAAAUUCAAGUCAUAAGCACCUCAAAUUCAUAGUCAAAGAUGGAUUGACUUGGAAGUACUGUUCAUGGUCUGAAAAUACAAGUCUGAAAUUAGUGACAAUUAGCCAACUUUGAAUUUAAUUUCUAGCAGAAUUUUCAUUGAAGCUAGGAGAUGUUUUAGAACACAAGAGGACUCUGAUCUAUAGUGAAUCUAUUGGACCUGUUAUUGGUCAGAGAAAACAAAGAAUCCAUAUUUUAAAUAGGGUUCAAAGUUUGAAAGUUGUGCAGUUUUCAACUUAGCUGCUGAAUUGAAUCUAAGUCUGAAAAUAGUGUCAAGUAUGCAACUUUGAAAUUCAUUUCUGGAGAAUUUUUUAUAUACACUCUGAAAGACGUUGAAUCCUAAGUGAACUAUGAUGUCCAAUAAAUAUUUUGAGCAUGUUUUUGGACAAGGAAAGAGAAGGAUUCAAAUUUUUCUUGAAGCUCAAAUUGUGAAUGUUACCCUGUCAGUUUAACUGACGAAGCUGAAUGGCAGUCGCCAUUCAGUCCUAAGGACGGUGCAAAAUUGCAAUUUUUAGCUUGAGAUUUUGGAAGAAAUUGUAUGUAAGGGUUGGGCUUUCAUAUGUGAAAUGGAACCCCUGUCCUAUGGUUGACAAGAUCCAGUAGUUGUUGGGCAACAAAAAUUGAGUUUGAAUGGUUGAAUUGGAGAUCAAAGUUGACACCUCGGACUGUCGGGUGGUGUCUGACGAAACUGAAUGCAGAAGGACGAUUCGGUGCUAAAUGACAGAACCCUAGCCCAAUAUUGGAGUUAAAAUUCGCGGGGAUGGAGUGAUCUUUGGCAAUUGAGGCAAAUCAAUCAAAUGUAGAGCACAUGAUCCUCUACAAUUUUGAUUAAAGAAAUUCUUGGAGCUUGAAUUGGGUUUUGGUCGCAAAAGUGAGUUGAUUUACAGUGGAAUUUGGGGAAAGAAGGGGAGGAACAGAGUCGGCCGGUGCUACCAGGUUGUUCGCCAUUGAUGUCAAGAGCGGCGCCGCUGUGCCACGUGCCAGCACCGGCAAGAGGCGUGAAAGCAAGCAGCAAGCAGGAGGUGGCGCUCGGGAAGGCGGUAAAUCUUUCAUAUAAUUACCGCUCCCGCCGGCGAGCGUUAUCCGUUUAUUGCAUGCUCUGUUUUUUCACCUUACUCUCGAUCGCCGUCCUACUCCGCCGUCAUUCCCCCAUUGCUAGCCACUCCACCUCACCAAGAACCACCGCCAUGAGCUCCUGAGCUAGUCCCGUCAGCCGUUGUCUAGCUCUAGUUCCCACAGUCACCACCCCCGUCGUCUUCUUCCUCAGUGCCGGCCGCCGCUCGGGUCUGGUAAGAGCGCUGCCGUGGAGAGCUUGGUACAGAAGCUAUGGUCGUGUUCCGGGGGUUUGGGUAGGUCAUGUAUGAGCUCUAGAUGGGUUAAGUUGUGCUUGUUGGCUUGGAGUUCCACCGGCUUGGCCGGAACACUCACGCUGCCAUGCGCCAAGCUUUGGCUAUGGCCGCCGCCGUGGAGCCUUCUGCUCCCGCCGCGGGGUGCUUCGGUUCGAGGGCGUGCUAUGUUGAUAGGGCCGUAGUAGAGCUGCCGGUGCCGCUUGUUGCCUUAAGGCUGCCGCCAGCAAGCUUUGCGCUGCCGUUCGCCUAGCGCCGCCCGCACCGUCGUCUGCCUAUCGCCGUCGUCGUCCACCCAAUCCACCCCAAGAACACCACCAGUAGGUGCCCAUGGUCUAGGCAAGUUUAGUGGUGCGGUCCCCAUUGUCGGAGACCUCGCCAGCGACGAGCCGCUGCGAUUACCCACCGGCUGGUCCUCAGUCAAGACCGGGCUUGGGUCUGUUUACCCGGGGGGCCCCGUGUCAGCGUGUGGGGGUAGGCUGUGGGUGAGUAAGAAAAGUCCAAAGAGAGGGGGUUCGGGAUAAUGUUAGUUUUAAUUUUUAGAAAAUAGAUUUAAUUCCUAUUUUCAUAUUUAAAUCAUUAUACACAACAUGAUCUAUUGUGCAUAGCUGGUGAUGAGGUAUCUCCUACAGGAUGUAAAUCAGUCCGGAUCGCCGCAAUUCUCGGUUAUGAAUGCACUUGAUCAUCGCUUAAGCAUUGUAGAAUAAUCAAGUUGAAUAUAAUGUUUUUCCUGGAAUUAAUAUGUUGUAUGACUUAGUUUCAUUUGUUUGCUUAAAAAUGUUUUAAUUCACCUAAAACGGUUAGGCAAGAACUAAUAUGAAAUAAAAUGAUAAAAGUAAGGUCCCACUAAUAGUAAGCUUUUUCGUAAAAUGUGAAUCAGCCAGUACACCAUAAAGCUAUCAUACAAUAUUUUUUUAUUAACCUUCCUAUAUUGGUUUGUCGGGUCAGUCUUGUUGAAUACCCUCGUACUCAAGGGAUCCCUUGUUGUUGUUUUCAGAAGCACAGCAGGGGACAACCAAAGAAGAAGUUCCGAAGAACUAGGGUAUCUAAAAGUCUCAUAAUACCCUAGAAUAAAACCUAGUUGUAUAAUUACGUUUUCUUAGACUAGUUUUAUGUUUAAAACUCCUAGCAAUGGUCUAUUAUGGCACUGUUAAGUUUAUUUCAAUCUACAGUUUGUAAUAAUUCGUACCUUCUGUAUGUAUGUAAAAAUGUAAUAUUUAUAGAUGCUUUCCCUUCGUGGAAGCGAUCCUAAUGUAUGGCUAUGAAACACGUUGUGGAUGUUUUGAGGUGUCCUAUGGACACUCAACGGACUACCGGACUUACUGUUUUAAGUGUGUUUCGUAUAAUUGCUAUUCCGACAGCGAUUAGGCACACUUAAGCCAAUUUAACUCGGACGGUUCCGCCAUACUCAACAAGAGAGCAAUGACGAAGAUGAUGAAGAGUUGGUCAAGAACGAGAGGAGAAGAAGAGGUGAGUGCUUCAACUGUGGCAACUGUGGCAAGAAAGGGCAUCGUGCAUGGGACUACUGGAGUCUACGAAGGUACUCAGAAGGAAACGUGGCUACAACCAAAAAAAGUUAUCCUGAGUGGGUGGCUAAGCGAAGAAGAGUGGGAUGGUGUGGCAGCAGCCACAAUUGAAGAUGAUGGAACUUACUUCGUGGAAGACUUGACAGAAGGUGAAACUCCAUCAAAUAGCGUUGAAGAAAAGGAAGAAGAGUGGGAUGCAGAAGGUGACUUCUCCAUAGAGGUGAGAGAUCCGGAUACUUUAGAAGGAUUCAUAGUAUUUGGAUAUGAUAAUGAUGAAGAUUGAGAGGCUCUAAGCGAUGAGGAAGAAGAUAUUAAAAAGCGAGCACAUGACGCUAACUUUUGGACAUGGGCGUUCUUCCUCAUUGUUUCUAUGGUACAUCAUCAUGUGUCGCAGUUUCAGGAGGCAAAUAGAUGUGCUUAUACAGGUGCCACGACUGGCACGACACAUGUGUAGUGUGUUUCAGUUCGAAUGUUCGAUGAUUCUCCACAUCCCCAUUUUGGCUGCGUCAAAUUGAGGAGCAUGCUUCAGCUUCGAAAUACAUGAGACCCACAAUAUUUGUUAGCUAAGCUUUCUCGUUUUUAAUUUGCUCCCUGGACUUCACCGUCUGUAUUUCCAAUGACAAGCCUGCCAUCCUGGUGAACUCGCAUUUGGGCAUUUGGCAACUUAAUUUUCGUCAGAAAUUUUAUUUUCGGUAAUUCUCCAACACCUCCAGGUCAACGUGCCUUUGGCAAAGAGUAUCAAGUUUAGUUACUCUGAGCUUAGGAUCCAGUCUCAGAUCUGAAAUCUUUCCCUUUUUCUUUCUCUUUUGUUUUGUCCCUGGAUUUGUUGUCUUUGUGUCCGCGUGGUAGUCGUACUCGUACGUGGGCUGAGAUGGGCACAUAGGGACUACAUGGGCCAAAGUAGCGCCUCUUUUCUAGCUUAAGGGCCGGCCUGAAGCUCAGACUGCCCUUGGGCCUUUGGCGAGCAGGUGUUAAGUAGCCUAGUUUUGUAUUUUUUAUUUAAUUCUUUUCAUAAGAAUCCAUUAUUUCAUUCCAGUAAGUCUAGUGGAAAAAUGGUAUUGCUACAUACCGAAUAAGAACCACUACUUGUUUGUGGUGAUGAAAAAUCCUUGCUACAAGUCUCACACAAUUCAAAGAGUAUAAAUAAACUUGCUUCUUUCUCUUCAUUCAUAAAAACCUAAGGGUGCGUUUGGUUCGAGGGACGAAGUGGGACGGGACGGGACGAUCCCACUUCGUCCCGUGUUUGGUUUGGAGACAGGUGGGAUGGGGACAUCCCUAUGAGGGAAUAUACCCUCCAGAUGCGGGAUGCCCCCAUCCCACCAAAACGAGCGGACGGGGGCAUCCCACUUCGCCCCCGUCACGCGCCGUUUGCGCGGGUGAGCUCCGGGCGAGCGCAGCCGGCGCGGGCGGGAGCUCCGGCGCGGCCGGCGCGGGCGGGCGCGGCCGGGAGCUCCGCCGCCGCCGCCGGCGCGGGCGGGCGCGGCCGGGAGCUCCGCCGCGGCCGGCGCGGGCGGGCGCGCCCGGCGCGGGCGGGAGCUCCGGCGCGGGCGGACGCUCCGCCGCGGCCGGCGCGGGCGGGCGCGGCCGGCGCGGGCGAGCGCGGCCGGCGCGGGCGGACGCGGCCGGGGCGCGACGUCGGCGGGCAUGGAGCAGGGGAGGCGGGGUGGAGCAGGGGCGGCGGCGGCGGCGGCUCUGGGGCGGCUGGGGCCCUCGGCCGGUGGGGGCGAGCGCCCUGGGCGGCGCGGUCGGGGCCCGACGUCGGCGGGGGCGAGGUCCCGAGCUGCGGGAGAGGACCGGAGGAGGCCGGCGGGAGAAGAUAAGGCCGGUGGGAGAAGAUAAGGAGAAGAUAGGGAGGAAGAAGAAGACGUUGUUAGUAUGACGAGUGGGCCCCACAAACGGUGUCUAACGGAAGAAGAAAACGGUGCUCAUCCCGUCUGUCGCAAUCUCUCCAACCAAACAAAAAAUUAGGACGACCCCAUCCCAUUCAACCAAACAAGAAAUGGGAUCAUCCCAUCCCGAAAAACUGGGACGGGAUCGUCCCGUUCUACAUUGUCUCCCAACCAAACGCACCCUAAGAUACAAAGAUCAUAUAGUGUGCCGUGAGCAAGGUUAGUUCAUAGAUGCAAGAGAGCAUGAUAGAAAGGUUAAAGGCACGUUUGGUUUGCUUGCAAAAGGUACCCUGCCAAAUGCGGAUGCGGCCGCACUGAUUUGGCUGCCACUUGGUUUUACUGGCAGUGUGGUGGCAUGCCAAACUAUGUGUGUCCGCAUUGGUAUUGCGCGCGGUUCAUUUCCCCCUCCCAUGGGUUGGCACAUUAGGGGCAUAGGAAUCGACCGUCCACGUGUGGGCGUGCCUAUGGUUAGCAAGGUGACGCCGUGUCAAAAUCAAAUACGUCCUAAGAACAGCCAAGGAAAUUAUGAUGUAGUGAUAUAAUAAGUAUGUUAUUAAUCUAGGGUUCACGAUAAUCUGGCAGAUAAUCAUGGAUCAGUGACAAUAUUAUUACUCAAUUGUUUAGAAAUAAAAUAAUAUUAUUGAUAAUAAUCUAUGUAUGAUGGUGUUAAAGAAGUAUAAUUGUUAGUAGAUGUCUACACGAUUACUUCACUGAGAGAGAAAACCCCGGCUGAGGGAGCACAUAGGAGCAAGCAACUGAGCAAGGCAGUAUUCCCGGGCAGGGCUGGCCUUUUCCUACUUGAGCAACCUCUCUUGUUUUUACAUCUGAGCAGCUUCACUUUAUGCAGCAACACCUGCAGGCUACAACCAAAAGCAGCAAGACCUUUCUACCACCUCACACCAUCAUCCCCUUUCUUAUUUGUUUUCCUCUUCUGGACUGGGACCCUCCCUCCUCUCUCUAUCAUCACCCUCCUUCCUCUGGAAGGCAAAAAAACCUCUCUCCCCCAGCACUCUCCUCCCGGCCGCCACCAUGUCAGGCCUCUACAGCCAGGGCUUCUCCCCUGCAAGAACCCUCUCCCCCCAGAUUAGGAGCAACCCCGAUGCUGACAGGUACUGCUAAUUUCUGACCCGAUUUCUCUCCACUGAUUCUUGAUCCGAAGAUUGCAACUCCAGCUGCUUCUUUUCCCCCACUUACCCUUGCGAUUGAUUGGUGGCGCGAUUCUUGCUUCGCUUCUUCGCAGCCAGUACUUGGCCGAGCUUCUCGCCGAGCAUCAGAAGCUGGGGCCCUUCAUGCAGGUGCUGCCGAUAUGCAGCCGGCUGCUCAACCAAGGUGAGAUCUUUUUGAUCCCUCGCUUACUGUUGCUUGCGGAUUGGUGAGAAAUCUUUUUGCGGAUGAGUGUCAGACUAUCGGAGAGGGUUCGUCUGCAAUCGAGAUUGGGGAAUCGCUUGGCUCCAAUGCUCGGAUGGCUGCUGAUCUUUUCCGGCAGCUGAUGUGUUGGGGGAGAUAGUAUGUGUGGUGAUGGGAUAGAGUUGGCAAGCCGCCAUUGAUUUUUUUCGUAGCCGGCAUACAAGAACCUUAUUAGUCUUAUUGACCCGAAUACCCGAUUGGGGAUUGCCAAUGAAUUGGCCUUUGAGUGAUGCAGUGACUUUUUUUAUGGUCUUGCUAUAGCAACUUUUGUAGUUUGUUACUUGAUACUGGUUGAUAGAGCAUCUGUAGCUGAAAACAGCGGUCAGCCCAAUAAUUGGGGAAGGUUCAUUUUGGGGAUGACAUCCAUUGUUGAUUGCAUCUUCAUCGCUUGCAUUGUGCAGAGUUAUUAGGUUGGUUGUAUGUCAUACUACUUUGCAAUGCAUUGGAUUUUGAUCAUCUUGUUUAACAAAAAUAAUUUGUUUUCAUUUGGGAAAAUCAUUAGCUAGUAUUUGAGAUGUUUCUUUUAUCUUUCUGUGUGGUGCUUGUGGAUCACCUAGUGCAUCUUCUCUCUAUGCACGAAGGCUGGAGCUUUCCGUAAUUAUCCAUAAAUGUUGAAUACAUAUUUUUAUCAUGCAUGAGGAUUUAUCUCCUCUAAUGUUUUUCAAGCAUGGCCUACAGUUUUACCUAAGUAAAUGGACUGUGCAUACGGCUGGAUUGCACGACCCCGUACAACCAGCACAGGCACUGUUACCUUUUCUGCACUGAGCAGUGGGCUGUGACUUGGUCCGUUGGCCGCAAGCACAGGCCAUACAUCCUGGUGACCUGAUCGUAUGUGUAGCAAAGUCCUUUUCUUAUUAACCACAUAUCCCUUGUAGCCACUUUAACCUUUACAGUUGCCCUUUUUUCAAUUUUCAAAACGGGAAGUGAUCUUUUCCUUUAAUAUGACCUUUUAUAGGGCCAAACUGGCCUUUUUAGAAUGAUAAUUAAAAAUUGUGUAGAGAGAACUUUAGUAUACUGUAAGAUAGCUGGAUUUAGAUAUAAAGACUAGACACCUCUUGCAGAAACUGAACCUUUGGGCUCCCCUCAAAAUGAUUGAGCUGUUAAAGUCAUGCGGUGCUACUUCUGAAAAGGGUUUUUCUCCUUUCAUCUUCAGUAUUAAAAGAAUGAAUAUUUUAUCUUAUUUUAGAUUAGGAUUUUCCUCUGCCUGGUGCAUAUAUGGAUUUUUGACAAAACCCAUCACACUAUCUAUCAAAAAGGAAAGUUGAAGGCACCGACCAGACGGAAGUAUGCAAUUUAGUUGACCACAGAAGUAUAUAUGACACUCUCGAUCGUAUGUCACAUAUUUUUCCGCUUCCACUCUUUUGCUACAUACUGCAAUUGAUUUGAUUACAGCAAGCAUUAACAUUUUGUAGCAAAUUCUUGAACCCUUCCCCAUUCUGACUAGUAGGUUGGCUGAUUCUUUUUCUUUCAUCAUUUGUGUUACUUAGAAAUCAUGCGGGUAUCAAGCAUGGUUCACGACCAUGGAUUCAGCGAUUUUGACAGGCGUCGGUUUAGAAGUCCCAGUCCUAUGUCUUCGCCAAUUGUCCGCCCUAAUCUGCAUGGCAAUGGAUUUGGUCCUUGGAAUGGGAUGCCCCAAGAGGUAGGCAUAAUAUGUUGAUCACUUUAAUAAAGUUCCUCUUUUGACAAGAUUUCUUCAAUAACCAUCUUUUUUAUGUGAUAUUUUUUGGAUUUGCAACUCUAUUUCAGAAUCAGUGAUUAGUUUUUUUAAUAUAACAGAGAUUGGGCUUUCCUCCUCCUGGAACAAGUAUGGACUGGCAAGGAGCACCACCAAGUCCUGGCUCCUAUAUUGUGAAGAAGAUUAUACGCUUGGAAGUUCCCGUUGAUUCCUACCCUAAUGUAUUGCCUCCCACAACCUAUGUAGUUAGUACUGAAUGAUGUUCUAGUUCUAAUAUGUUCCGGUUUCAAAUUUCUCCAGUUCAAUUUUGUGGGGCGCAUUCUAGGUCCUAGAGGUAAUUCUCUAAAGCGGGUGGAAGCUUCAACUGGCUGCCGUGUUUUUAUUAGAGGGAAGGGUUCCAUCAAAGAUACAGAGAAGGUAUCCAAAAUGUUAUAUUUGUUAAUCGCAUCCCACUUAUGUGCUUGUUUAAUUUAUAAUAUCUUAAGUUUAGAAAGGUUUUAUAGCCUGUUGGGUCAUGGAGCUUAUUUGUCAUAUCUAAUGUAAUGUCGCGUCAUGGAACUCUGUGAACUACAUGCAACACUUAAGUUUUAUUUCCUGACUUGUAACCCUAAUGUUAUUCAACUAGUCUUGCCUCUGACCUUUGCUAUCACUGCAAUGGAUCUAAUUUUGGUAUCAUGAUCUUCAAAUUCUCGCCUGACUUGACCAGCAAAACUACAACAUAUAAGGACAGGCACAACUUUUUUUUUUUGGAUUAACCCAUAGGUGCUGUUCAAGGCAGAUCACCUAUGCAUGCUGCCUUGCUCAUAGAUGGCUUGGGACCGAGUGACAGAAUGUCCUGCUCAAGAUCCAAAUGUUCCCAUAGGAGGACUCUGUGAAAGAUCAGCACUAUGAUGACUAAGGGCGUACCUUAAGGAAUGAUUUGUGUGGGGAAUUAUUUUAUUUUCCACUAAGUAAUAUCCUAUUCUUCAUCUGCCAUCACAAUUUUGCAGCCUUUUUUUCUGUAGUGCCGUUGAAGCAUCAUUAGUUUUGCCAUUUUUUAUUUAUGGCAUUAAGUCAAACCAAGGUGUGCUAUAAUUUUUAACAUAGAACUUCAACGGACUCUCCCUUUCUUGCCACAGCCUACUGUGAAAUCGAGCAUUCUUUAGAUUUCUUUUUCCUGGGCUUUGCUGUUUGCCUUUUGUUCAUUGAAUUGGAUGGAAUAUGACAAUUAGAAUUGAGGAAGAAAAAGGGUUGUCCAAAGAAGAGUUUGAAAUCUUCCUUUGUAUUAGCAUGCUGAAUUAUUGUGUCAUGUUUUUUUUAAUUUUAAUGCUAAUAUUUACCUGUAGCUCUGUAGGAAAUUAUGCUCACAGAAUUGCCAGAAACAGUUCCUAACAUGUGGGGUCCCUUUCUACUGGACUAAUUGUUUGCUUUUGCUCUAGAAAGUCCAUAUGUUUUUGUUACAGAUCAUAACAUAUUGUCCAACUCUGUACAUCCUUUUCUCAAACUAACUCUGUACAUCUUGGGUGUUCAAUCCUAGAUGCAUCUGUAUUAUGAAUAUCCAGUAACCCUAUUAGAGCCCUCUGUUGAUGAAGACUUGGAAGAAUAACAUCCAUUUUCUGUUAUUUUCCCUCACUAUCCCAUGACUUAGACAUUCGGUACCUUGUAAAAAUGGUAGCAUCUAGUUAUGUCUUUUGGUCAAAUGUUUUUUUUUCUCGAACACGCAGGAGAGCUGCGUAUCAUUGUAUUAAUAGGAGAAGAACGAGUCAUAUAGAGACCCAAACACACUAGAAUUGGUCAAAUGUGUUGGUAUGAACUCAUGAUAUUCAGUGAUGAAUGUUGUUACAUAUAUCUGGAUAUCAUAUAUUAGUCUUUUUCAGAUUUCUGUGUUUUUCUGCUUGCAGUGGCUAUGUGGUAAUCUUUGGGAAGGCAGUCUUACCUCCUUAACUUAUUAUUGUCAUUACACCAUUAUUGUGAUAAUCAAGAAGUUGUAUUUCUCAUUCUAAUCAUUUAAUCUUUGUUAGUGCAUAUUUAGAACUCAUAUGGUCCUACUGCUUCCAUUUUCUCUCUUCUUCUUAGUUCCCCAAGAAUACACAGUUACACAUAUGUGCUUUUAUUGCUUUAGGAAGAGAAGCUUAAAGGAAAACCUGGCUAUGAACAUCUAAAUGAGCCACUGCAUAUAUUAAUCGAGGCUGAGUUACCAGCGAAUAUCAUUGAUACAAGACUCAGACAGGCACAAGAAGUCAUGGAAGAACUGCUAAAGCCAGUGGUAAGUUAUUCUAAUGUAUAAUAAAAUUCUGCAUUUAUUGGUCCUCAUCUGCCAAAGCUAGGAGUUUGUAGGGGUACUCUUAUUUGAAUUGGCAAAUGCCGUGCAAGAACACAUGAUCUAUGCAUUACUUUAUUUUGAAAUUUGGAUAUUUAUCACUUCCAGUACUUGUAAAACUUCAUUUAGUUGGUAAAUUGCUGUUAAAGGCUAGUGUCAAACUUUGCAUCACUUUGUAUCCAGUGACUAAUUGCAGCUAAAACAAACCCUACAUUGUUCUGUUUUAUGUAUCUUUGCAAUACAAUGUUUUCUUCAAAAAAAAAGUCUACAAUGAAAAGAAAUGUAUAUCCCAAAACUUGAAGGCGUUGUAGUGCAUCCAUUCAGUGGAAAUUUUCUCAAAAUACAAAACAUUCACACUUUUUUUCGGAAAAAAUUUCAACUGCAAUUAAAUCAUAAUAUUCCUGAAGUAAAGAUAAGUCACAUUUUGGGAUAUAUCUAUAUGUGUCACACCCGGUUUUAAAACAAAACCAAGUGCUACCUAUAUCUGUGCUAGAAUCAAGUUUCAUACAUAUAAUGACAUCAUCAGUGAAUAACAGUAACAAUAUCACGUAAAGGAAUAUAAAUAAUGACUUACGAGUCUAUCAGAGAUAUACAGCUUAAUCCUGGAAACGAAGGCUCCAAACUUCACAGGCAAUCGACUGGGGUUCGCGUACGCCUAGAACUCAGCAUCAUCUUCAGCAAACUUCAUAGCAACCCCUUCUUCUGAGCGGCGGUUAGCAAGGGUGAGUACACUUAUGGUUGGUACUUAGCAAGGCCACAAGAAAUAAUCAGAAUAACGAUUUAAGUCCAUCUUCAAGUUUAUUAAUCAUGUGAAGGUCCAGGCGCUCUUGAUCGUGAGCACGGCUGAUAUAUCAGUUUUACACUCUGUAGAGGUUAUACACUUUUACCACAAGCCGCGUAAGUUCAGAAGAACUUUGGACCCAACCAUGCAAUGCGAAAGUAGGCACUUAUCACACUACCGAGGUGUGACCGCAUAGGGACGCUACGAGGCCUUUAAAAAAAUUCCCUAAUAAGUGGUAACCCGCUAAGGUUUUAGUGUCUGGCGUGCGUAAACCUCCCUAAUGGGCAUAGUGUCUUAACAAAGCCCACUUCCCAAGAGGACAUGGCUAUACAACGACUCAGUCCCCCCUCUUGCCUUUUCGGUAAGAUUACCCCAAAAUAGAGUCUCUAAUUAAUUAGCCAAGACCAGAGCCAUGUAGUUCUCGUGGUUGCACUAUUUUCUUGGGUGGUCGUUCCAUGUUCCAAUUAAUACAUGGUAUUCUUGUAAAAUAAGCAUAGAUAGAAGGAUGGUUAGAGACACUUGCCUUUCUCCAAAGAAAAGUUACUCUUACUGCUCUUCAGCUCAUGCUUUCUUGAAGCUCUUAAUCUUCAAACCUUUCGAACAUCAAUCCUUCUACUCGAAGCAAUCAUUGGGCACAACCAUACAAAGCAAACAAACAAGUAUAACUAAGAACAAUACACCAAUUAAGAAAGGCUUUAAAAGAGCGUAGAAAAGGGUAGGGCUCGAUUCUAUGGUCACUCGAACGCAAGAAACGCUGGGAACGGAACUAUGGUUGACAAGGCAAAACUAUCGAGAGGUUUGAUUUAUAAAAGAAAUAAAAAGACUAUAUGCUUGAUCCAUUUUAAUUAAAUAAAAUCAUGCACAUAGGUUAUUUUAGAGAAAUACCCUAUUUGGAAUUAUCAGAAAAUAAGGUUGAACGUUGACAACGUGAUAAACUUGAUCAGAUUUUAUUUAUAAAUAUUCAAGUAGAAGUUAUGCCAAUUUAACAAUUAACUUUAGAAACACAGAGCAUAUGUAAAAGACAUAAUCAAACAACUUUUUAUUUCGUGUUCAACUAAACAUAUUAAUAUUGAAAAAGCAUUUAUAAUAUCAUUAAGCAUAUAAACUUUAUUCAUGAAAACCGAUGUAUAACACUAGAUAACUUUUAUUUAGAAAAGCUAGUUAUAAAUAGAAAUUAAUCAAUUAAACCUUAAUUUAUGAAAAACGGGAUAGAACCUAACCAACUUUUAUUUAGAAAACUAAUUGAAUAAGAAUUAGUCAAGUUCACAUUUAAUUUUGAUGUUAAAAACAAGCAACAAGUAAUACACACUGCUAACGCAUAAGGUAAGGUUAAACGAAUAAGAACAACAAAAACAGACUACUCUAGAGCGUAGAAGGAAAGCGUAAACUAUGGUUUAGGAAAGGCUAGUCUACAAAGAGAUCAACUAAGUUGCAGGGACAACAAACUAGCAAAAGCUAAACUGAACUAGUCGGUAGAGAAACGAACUAAUAACAAGAUUGGCUCUAAAGAGAUGGCUGCGAAAGGUUUGGGCACAAAGAACUAAAAGAACAAAGGUGGCUCACAAAGAGACAACUGAGAUAAGACAGCUAUGAAUUGGAUCCUACAAACAUGAUUCUUAGAGGAAUAGGAAACAAACAUUAUAAGACUACUAAGCAGAAUAGAAACUCUAAGAUAAACUAUUUGGCUCACUAAAACGCACAAACUAUGCUUGAAAAGGAAAGGCCUGGUUAGAUUUAUAAAAGAAACAGGGUCCGAGCUGGGGCUGGGAAGAUCUAAAGCUUUACAGAAGACUUGAUUUACAAAAGAGACUGAGCUAACGCUGACAAAGAACAGCUAUCAAACUAUUCGCAUUUAUGAGAGCACAAAAGACUAUAAGCUAGGUUUAUUUUAAUUAGCAAAAUAUAUGUAAAGGAUAUUUCGGAAAGAAAAUACCCUAAGUUGGAAUUAACUAAGUUGGAAUUAAUGCAAGUUAUACUUUAUUUGCAAAGAUCGAGGUAAAUCCUAAUCAAGUUUUAUUCAUAAAUGUUCAUAUAUAAAUUAUACCAAUUACACACUUAACUUUAGAAAAGUGAAAACAGCUAAUCGAUUUAAUACAUGUUGUGUUGGGCUAAACAAAACUUAUUUAGAAAACAUAUUCAUAUUGGCAUUAGUCAUUUUAUCAAUCAUUAAGAAAAACCAAGUUAUAACUUAACCAUAUUUAAUUCUAAAUAUUGGGGUAUAAAUUAUAUCAUUUAAAUAUUUAACUUUAGAAAAGGCUAAACUAUGUGAAACAUCUAAGCGUAUACUUUAUGAUUCUAGUGGAUUAAAUUGUUAUUGAAAACAUAUUCACGUUGGUAUUAAUCAAGUUAAUUUAUUUAUAAAAAAAACGGAUGUAAAAGCCUAGUCAACUUUUAUUUAGAAAAGUUGAUUCGAUACUGAGCAUUAAUCAAAUUAAUAUUAGUUUAUGAAAAAUCGAUAUAUAUAUAUAUAUAUAUUAGCUUUUAUUUAGAAAAGCAUAUGAUGCAAGCAUUAAUCAAAUUAACAUUUAAUUAUGAAAGCGAGGUAUAACGCUAAGUAGCUUUUAUUUAAAGAAGACAUGUUUAUCAGGUAUUAAUCAAAUUAAAUUUGAAUUCAUUUUCAAAACAUGCAUGAUGGAAAACAUCACCACUAACAUGUAAUUUAUGUUAUCAUGAACCUAACGCAACUUGGACGGAUAUAAACGGUGCUGAAACGAAGAAGGGAUAGGUUAAACAAGGUUUAAGGGAUCUAGAUGUGAUUAACCGUAGAUCUGGAGGGCUGACAAGGAAGAUAGACAAGACACAUGGAAUAGUGCUCGCCAUUAGGUCAAAGCAUAGGGUUAGAUCUGUUAAAGUGCUCAUAUUGGAUUGGCUUAAAGGAAACUAAACUUUCCGGGUGCUUUCUAUAAAAUUGGCAAGAUACAAGAGAUUCGACCUAAAAUUGUAUAUUAGCUCGAGGGGCUAUCUGCAAAAAGCUCAAAGAGUUGAUAGCCAUGGCGGAUGGCCUCUGGCUGAUUCAAAUCGACGGUGGUCCGACGGGGUAGGGUAGGGAUGAAGAGGCGCAGGAGGUACGGGAGGUCACGGUUGACUCACAGGGAUGCUCACCGGUGACGGGGAGGUGGUUCAGCGGCCGAGAAAUUCUGACGGCGGAUGGCGAAGAAGCUCGGCGGCGGCUCGGGUCUUCAUGUGUGCGCGGUGCUUCGAUAGGGCAUUGGCAAUGAGGACUAGUGGCGCAGCUGCGCCUCGACAUCGUCGAGCCCCUAGGGGUGCUGGCUUGCUCCGGCGGGCGUCCCUGGCGGUGAAUCGGGCGAACAAGGCUGACGGCGCUCUACUUCCAGGCGGCUCGCUCGACGGCGGGAGCGUGGCACAAAGGUGAGGGUGCAAGGCAAGGCAGCAGGGGCGUGCAGGGUCAGGCGGUGUGUUUUAUAGGAGCACGGAGCAGGCCCCACGGCUUGGUGCGCACGCCAAGGCCGGCGGCGGUAUGCUGCCCAGCGGUCGUAGGAGCUGAGGCUGUUGGCCCAGAUGGGCCUCGGCUAGGCCGAGCUGGCUGGGCUGGGCUCGCAGGCUCGGCCCAAAGGGCAGGGGGUCUACCUGCAGGGAGAGAGGAGGAUUGGUAUGGGUUUGGGUAGGAUAGCGGGUUGGGUUUGGUUUGGUUGGAUCUAGCCUGACAAGGAUUUAGGGUUUUGUUUUAUUUUCCAAAUAUAAUUUUCAGUGCGAAAACUAAUCCAGAAUAUUCUAGAUAAUGUUUUUAGAGCACAAAAAAAUCAGGAAAAUCCUAAAAAAUCCAGGAAAAAUCUCGGAGAUAGUUUGGGGCAUGAGGAGUUCAAAUGAACUAUUUUGAGCUUGUGAAAAAGAUUCUAGAGCCUUAUAAUAAAUAGAUUUAGCUCUAGGAAAAAUGAGAACAACUCCUAGAAAGAGCUGGAAAAUCAGAAGGGUCUGGACAUCGUCUAAAUGCAUAUUAAAACCUUUUGCACUCAAGAAACACCAAGAUGCAUCGGCAUGAAUACAACACACACAGAACAACACUAUUUAAUUUAGAAAAACAACCCAUUGUUCUUCCUAUACUACAUUUCCUGUCAAGGAAAUAAAUGUUGGAAAAAUUUUAAAAUUAUGAGAAAAUCAUUGUUUAAUUAUUCUUUUUAAUCACAUCCUGAAAUCCAAAAAUUUCAGGGUGUGACAAUAUGGUUGUGUAUAUUUGGAUUGGACAUACGUUGCUUAAAUGCAUGUAUCUGCCUAAGGAUAUUAUGGUGUCAAAGGUACAGAGAACAUGUCAAAUACCACUUAAUUAUGUUUGGCUUGUGGGGUAUUAAUAGGUUCAGUAGAGAACACAUGGCUAUUCGCUUGAGAGAGCCCAAGAAGAAAUGGCAUGCUAAAAUCUGAUGUCGUUGAUUUACUUGGUUCUUAUAUUAUUUUAUAAGCUAGUUUUUUUUGCUGUGAGCCACCUGCUGUUUGUUCUUUAGGAGCAAUUAUUGCCUUUUCGCUCAAUGUUUCUGUAAAUAGGUUCCACUUCUCAUGCAUUGUAAUGUGCAUAUAUUGUAUUUUCCUUAUACUUUACUCCUAUAACUUAUUUAGAAAAUCCGUAUAGUUAUGAGUGUCUUCCAAUUUCCAUAUACUCCUUAUAUUCAGAACUAAAUAGUUAUUUUCCUUGUAUGUAGGACGAGUCACAAGAUUUCUACAAAAGGCAACAGCUGAGGGAACUGGCCAUGCUAAACUCAACUCUGAGAGAAGAUAGUCCUCAUCCUGGAAGCGUCUCUCCUUUCAGUAACGGUGGCAUGAAACGCGCAAAACCGAGUCAGUAGAGAAGCUGCUUCUCCAUCCUUCAGUCCUUCUUGUUGCAGGCGUGCAUCAUCAACAAGGGGCACUUGAGCCUGCGCUGCGUGGGUGCUUGUGUAAGAAAAGGUAUGCGUUUGCUGGAUGGUUAGUCUGGUAUCAAGCGCAUUUUCUCCUUCGGAUAAGGAGAAAUCAUGGUUGUUGAACCGUCUUGAUCUUUUUGUGGAUCGAGGCAUGUUGUUGUAACUUGUAAGGUCAUGGACAUUCAUUUUAUUCGUUAUUGACUGUUUAACCCUAAGUAGCUUGUGAUGCUGAGGAUAGGUGGUUUCAGGGGAGACUAGGUAAACCUGACUGUUUAAUUAGCUUGUAUUAGUCCCCUGUUACAUUAUGGAGUUGCAAAAAAAAACGAAGAUCAUGGUGCACUCCACUUUAUGAUAGUUUGAUGAUGGAAGCUUUGAAUGAACCAUGUGAACUCAAAAUGCAUUGUACUCGCAUAGUAUGCGAAUUUGGUUACAGUAUAAAUGGGAUCCAUGGGCAUUCAAGUAAUGUGGAUUUUGAAACAAACAAACGACUAGGUGUCAUUCUACAAAUUAAAUUUGGGUUGUUAAGUUGAUAUGCAUCUUUUGACCAGGAUAAGUUGGUGUGUAUCUUUACUUGCCCAUGCAGUGCUCCCUUCAGUCCCACAAAAAAUGGCAGGGGCUUUCUUUAAAUUUUUCUUCCUUUGUAUUUGAUCUUUCUUCUUUAGUGAUAUGAUGCGCUACUCUCUUGUAUAUUUGAUAAAAAGUAAAUGAUGUUUUGGUCAUUGAGAUGGUUUUCCAAAUACAACUUUGGCUAAAAUGUUUGUUGUUGGCAUGUAUAUGUUUAUAAAUUAAAGCAUAGCAAACUAUAUUAUGUCAAGGAAAUCUACUUACUCUGCAAUCUACUUAUUAUGUCAGAUGAUUAUCGCGGAGUAUCAAAAGAGAAGGGAGGGAGGGAGUAAUUACUGUAGUAGAAAAGUUCAAUCGCCGUGAUAGUCAUCUGACACAUGGGUACAAUUACAAAUGAAGUGACGACUGACGAGGUGUUAACCGAAGGACAGGAGGUAGUCCCAACCCGGUGCCGUCCUCGGAAUGCGUGAUGACAGCAUCCGCAGCACCUACAGGAAAAAAGGACCUACGGGCCUACCAUCACGCCUUCUCCGUUGUCGGCGGCGGCGGCGGCAGCAGCGGCGGCCGUCGGCGUGUCGGGGACUACUAGCUUCGCCGUGGUAGGGAAUAGGGACCCUUUGGUUUGGCGGCAGUUGGUGCCAGGACAAAACAGAGAAAGCUGUGCAACCUGCCGAAGGCGCCGUUCGUGCCCGUGGUUUCCGACCGACUCGUCCUUUUCUUUUCUUUUUUGUUUUGGAUACGCCGACUCGUCCAAGUUGGCCUCUUGAUAUUUCCUGUUUCGUGCUAGGCAUGGAUAAGGCAACGUCACGAGUCCCCGACCGUGCCCACGGGACGACGGGUGAGGUGAUGCAGCCGGUAGCGGAGAAGAGCUAUCCCACCACUCCAUGCAUGCAAAUAAUAUAUUUAUGGCUCAACCGCCACCACCGUACAGUCACCAGGUUCGAACCCGCAUGAGCCCCCCCUACCCGUGGAGAGAAGAUACCAGCAGGAGGAUGAAGAGAAAGAGGAAAGAGGAAAGGAUAGGAAGAAGACAAGGAAGAAGAAAAGAGAGAAGCCUUUGUAGUUUGUAGAAUUACUAUGUUCAUAUGGUAUGAUCAUAUAAAUUCGUGAGAUAGAAAAAAAGUUACAUGGGUGCUCCAAAACAACGUUCCAAUCAGUCAUGAUGCUAUCCCUUAGAAAGUUUGAAAAGAGAGGAACUAAAGAGUGCUCAGAGCAAGGCUUCGGCUCCUUCUAGCUCUUGCGAACCGGUAAAACAUAGAUCAGUAUCUCUCAUUUCGGGCAAACCGGUAAAAAAGAUUAUCUUUCAUUUUGGGGCAACGACUUUUGUCCAAAUUUUCGGGUCCGCCUACCACCUGGUAACUGUUCCGUUCUCACUUUCUUCGCUGCGAGCGUUGGCACGCAACGACAUUCUAGAUGCGGAGGUAGAUUCUUUGGAUACCGGUGUCAGGGAGCGUGAGCUGACAGAAAGUGUAAGCCUGCACGUGCGCAGGUUAACCGCUCGACCACACACGCCAGGAUCACAUGUACAGUGCCAAGUCCAAAACAACCCUGCCACCAAACCCUGCGAGAGGAUUUCUCCAACAAUAAAAACCACAACAAGGUUGGUGGCACUGGCAACAAAUCUUCGCAAUCUCCACGGCAAACAACCUUGUCCGGAUCGAAAGAACGAAAAAAAAUUGUCAACAAAUAUUAUUUAUCACACAUCGAAGGGUUCAUCAGGUUUUACAGAUCAGUUCAUCACGCUGCUGCGCUUUCUAACAUCAUCAGCAGCAGCAGACAGCAGAGCAGCGUAUGUACAGCAUCAUCAUCAGUUCAUGAAUCAGAGAAGUUACAGAGAGAUUCUUCACAUUAGUAUCAUCGAGAAUCAUCAAGGAUUUCAGAUUGGUACCCAAUGGAACGGUGGGGGGGGGGGGGG